rnacentral:lncRNA from 1 species
AAAGGUAAACUGAUCCGGCAUAACUCCUGACUGUAGCAUUUGUAUGUACAGUUCAAUCGCAUCAUUUUCUUGGCCAUUCUGAGAGCAUCCAGCGAUCAUAGCAGUCCAAGAGACCACAUUCCUUCGCGGCAUUUCAUCAAAAACCAUUCUAGCAUCCUCCAAUGAACCACAUUUUCCGUACAUAUUAAGAAUAUGGUUAUGUAGAACAACAUCUGGCUGACAGUUGGAUGAUAAAAUAUGAUCAUGGACUUUUCUUCCGAGUUGUAGAGAUCUCAGAGAAGAGCAUGCAGAGAUUAAACCAGCAUAAGUGCUAGGUCUUAUCCUGAAGUUUGUAUUGUUUUGCAAGAAGUCAAAUGCUACAAGUGCUUCAUUGUACAGGUUUUGCUUGCAGAGAGAGCUAAUGUAAUCAUUGCUGAACUGUUCAGUCCUAAAGUAAGUUUGAGCAUUUGAUUGUACAAUAGGCUGACUGUGGUAGAAGGUGAACCGCAGUUGGGUUUUCAAGUUUCUAAUCAUGGUCACAGCAUUUCAGAAAGAAAAUAGUCUAGAACUAAAGGAUAAGAAAUGUUGAGAUUCUAUUUGUAUUUGGAUUUUAAAAGUAAUAGUAGGAAGCAACAAAUGUAAGUGGUAAAUUGCAUGAACUGAGAGGCAAAAUCCAACUCUUAUGUUACUCCAUGAACUUGAAUAAAUCAAAGUCCCAAAUAUCAUCGAAUCUUCUCGGAAAAGAAUCCACCACCUCCCCCGCUUGAUCCAACAGCAUACACAUAGUUCAAAUGCAUCCCAAUACUCACAACACCACCUAGACAAAUGACAAAUAAAAAAAACAUAAUCAACAUAUUGUGCUGACAAGCACGGAUACAAACUCUUGUACAAACGUUUUGUAUACAAACCGAUAUGUCAUCAUAUCAUUGGUUGGAUGACGUAAAUGGGGCGAACUUCCAUAUCGAAUCAAACUUAUGCUAAAUGAAUUUUUCAGGCAAUCAAAAUGGGCCCCUCAAAAAAUUUUUGACAGGAACAAAAAUGUGAAAGCCUGUAAGAGGCAAUUCUUCAAAUAAGAAGACUGCAAAAUAGUUAAAAUUUUAUAAUACAUUAGAGCAAUGGAUACAAAUGCUACGACGUCUUGCAAUGACAACUAAGUUCCAAUGAAACACAAACUUUUGCGAUAAAGCGUGAAACCAAUGAAACUAGACAUGGAAUUAGAAGCAGAAAUGAGCUGUAAAGCCAUCACAGCAAAAGAACGAAACUGCAGAUAAUUAAAUUAAAUUACCUUAAGAUUGUGGAUUGUAGUGACUGUAUUCAAGCAACCUCGUUCUUAAAAUCUGAAUUUAAACAAAAAAAAAAGGUUAAAAUAAAGUAGACUGAAAAUAAUGCGAGCAGGUCUUUGAGCAGCAAAAUGGCGCGCUUCAAGAGUUUAACGGUAAUAGGGGUAAAAUUGGCAAUUCAAUUACCGAAUACGACGUCGUAGUAAUUGAAUUUAGUUCAUUUUCUUACAAAUUUAAACAGCCAAACAGGUAAAGAUUGUUUAUUUCUUAUUUUAAUAAGAUAAUACAAUCAACUAUUGAAAGUAUGAAGUAUAGUUGAAUUUAAUCUGAAUAUUAUAUAUAUUAAUAUUUUUUAAAAUACAUAUGCAGGGGCGAAAGCUCAAAACUUUGAUUAUAAGGGCCGGAGUGAAUAAUGUAUAUAUAAUUUAAAGAUAUUUUUUAAUUUCUAUUAUAAUUUAGGGGAUAUCAUGUAUAUUUAAAAAGAAUUAAAAGUUUUACAGGGGCUAUGACCCACUCUAGUCUUCAUUAAGAUCCGCCGCCGUAUAUAUGUCUUAAUAUUAUUUAUUUAUUGUACGACAAACUUAAUAAUAUCGCUCAAACUAUAUUCCCAAUGAAUUUUAAUGUUACAUAAUUGAUAAUUAUUAAUUUUUAUAAAAUAAAAAUCUCAUCGUAUCUUUUAAUCUUUAUCAUAAUUAAAUCUGGGACCAUGGCAUGUUAUGGAAACUUCCGUAAUUUGAUAUUAAAACGACAAGUGAGAAUCUUAUCCAUGUCAAAUUUUAGAUUGAUAACACCUGCUAGCAUGAGUAUGUGUGUAAUUGAUUAGAAUUGAUUCUCUCAUGAUUUAAUUUUACUUGUAUUGCAAGUCAUCUCCUCUGUGAUCAUGUUUUCAUAGUUGUCGAAUUUGUGGGCUUUUUUAUUUUAUUAUCUUUUUUAAGUCUUUGACACAGAAAAUCGACGAAGUUUUAAUCUAAUUAUUGGUAAUACUCAGCUACAUUGACUACAAGUAAACCAACGAACAAUUGAAUAAUUUUUAUUGACAUCACGCCCAACCAAUAACCACACCGUUUCUUGGAAAAUCAAAAUGAAACCAUUGGAAGUUGAGUGAUUGUAUGAGUUCUUUUAUUGAAUCAUAUACUAUGGGAUUUCAUAGUCUUGAUGGUUUUCUUUCUCUUUAGGUGGAUGCUGGGUUGUUUUGGUGGAAGUUUAUUGAUCACUUUGAAAAGUUUGGUGAGUACUUUCAUGUAUCAAGGUUCAGAGUUUUGUAAUUUUGAGGGCCAAAUUUGCUUGAAUUAUUUAUAAUCCUUCUAUUACUGAACAAAUAUUCUUCUCUAAUUUCCAGUAUGUUUUAUAUUUUAUUUGACUAGGGGAUAGCCCUUCUAUAUAUGCUUUUUUUUGUUGUCUUUUUAAGCUUAUUUUUCAGUCAACGAUUGUGGGAAAAAAACAAAAAAAGAGUUUUGUCAAAGACAAGUCAAGCUUCCACCACAGCUGCUAAACAGCCCAAACAGACAUAAUCCAACUUAGAUUGAAAACACAUUUAAAAAUGCGCCUGUUGAGGUCCAUGUUGUGCCAUCAUUAUUUGGGUCUAAGUAAACCAACAUAACACAAAAGGGGGGAAACAUGUGGUGCAACUGUGGUACCGUGUUGCAUCCAGCCGUUGGAUGCCAGUGGACCUCACCAAUCCAAGUGCAUCCAAUGGCUGGAUGCAACUGUGGCACAGUACCACAGUUGCACUGUAUCCUGAUCCCACAAAAGGAUGCUCACCUUCAAAUUUUGAAAUCCUUUUAUGGAAUAUGUGACAUUCAUGAAGAAUUUUUUUUCUUAAUUUCUUAGUUCUAAAACGGAAAUUUCUUUGAAAGCUUGUUGCAUUGGUGUUUUUACUGCAAGAAAUUCCUGAGGAAUGCGUUGCAUUGUGGGUCGAGAUUUUGUCUGAGGACGCAAGCAACCAAAUGCUAUUGUUGAAACAAGGAUAAUAUCUUGAACAAUCUUUUGAUUCACUGGAGGUGAGAGACGUUAGUCUAAGAUAUCGAUCAGCAUGAUUUUUUGACCCGAUGAUGAUGAUAAUGACGAGAGAAUUCUCCUGGAUGUGUUCUCAUUAAUACUUCGAGUGCUACCACCCUAAAGUUGUAGACAUCACAUUUCUCUGUCACAACCAUAGUGUAGGUAAGUUCUACAUGAAAAGAUGAAGUGUAAGAAAAUAAACAAUUGUGAUGCUUGAUAUGUCGCGAUAAACAAUUUAUGGUGUGCAGUUGUGAUGCAGGUGUGACAAAGUGUGAGCCUAAUUUUGUUAUUUCACGUGGCUUGCUGAAAUUUCCACCUCAAACAUUUGAGUGGAAAUUUGGACUAAUUGGUCUGCAAUCUACCUGAUUUUGUUCUGUGGUUCAAAGAGCAAGGUUCAAAAGCAUAUUCAGGCAUUGAUAUGGCCUAAAAAGCUCUUGUUGCAACUUUGACUUCAGCUUAAAUACUCACAAGUGCUAGUAUGUGUGAAAUUGCACAACAAAAAGUUCCGAGGAAAGACUCAAGGGACCACAACAAUCUAACUUAAAACUCGGACUUCUUAGACUCUUAUAGCUUUGGUGGCAAGACUUUCCUACAAAACUAUAUGGUUACUCUACUCUGGCCUUCAACUAUUCAUGCUGAGAAUAGUACUAUAUAUGUUAAUAAUAUUGUAUGUGUGAAUAGUAUCUUUAGUUCGAAUAAUUGCGAUCAAUGGCUUCUGAUAUCACUAUUAGUGAAUUUAUGAGUGAAGUAGAUACAUGACUAAAAUGAAAUUGAAAAAUAUAGGAGACAUAAGAAUUUACGUGGUUCUGACUUAUAUAUAUGUGUGUGUGUGUGUGAACUUAAAGUUCUCAAAAUACUCUCUCAAUUCAUAAUCUCUCCAUGCUCUCAACUCACUUAUUUAUAGGGCAAGCCAAGCCCAAAAUGUCAAUUUUGGUUGGUUUUAAAAAAUAAUUUGUUUUGUUUUAUCAAAAUUGGUGGGCUUUGAAAUAAGGAUUUAUUUGUUAAAUUAAUUUAUUUUAAUAAAAAUUUUGCUUUGUCAAAAUUGAUUGGCAAUAUUUUAUUUCCACCACUUUACUGUAUUUAAGUUGUAAGAAUAGCUACUGCCGCAAAAUGUCCUGAACAGCUAGCCUAACUAUUCUCCUCGUACAUUUCCAUCAAUUAGUGCUUGGUGCGAACUCUGAGAAGCAUGUAAUACAUCCCAUGCCUGAGCCUGAUGGGCUGAAUUGGGUCAUUAGGUCUAAUAUCGAUUUUUAGGUAGUAACAAACUUUUAUUGAACAAGUUAUUAAAUACGUUCGAGAGACGAUCGACAAUUUAUGAAUUAUAGAAAUGAUGUGUCAUCAAAUCAUUGCUUGGAUGAUGCACACAGGUGCACUUCACAUCCUAAAUUAUAUGUCAUGAGUAGUACUACACAUCCUAAACUAUUUAUCUCAAAUAAAUAUCCCAAAUAAUAUGGCAUUUAUUAAUUGGUUAAUGAGGAUAAUACAAUUAAUUCACUUGGAUCUAGUAAAAAAUUAUCAAUCAAUCAAUCAAUCAAUGACAUAUCAUUUGGGAUGGAAUUUACGACAAAAGUUUUGGAAUGUCUACAAUUUUGAUAUGUCAUAAUAUUAUUUACUUGUUUUAUAACCUAUUGAAGAAUAUUCUUAAAAUUUAAUGUUAUACAAUUGAUAGUUACUAAAGUAAUUAUUAAAUUUCAUAAAAUGAAAAUCUCACUUUUAUUAAAAUCUCGCUUUUUCCCAUAUGGAAAAAAGACAACUACACCUUAAGGUUUGUGGAAAUAGUCACAAAGACCCUUAAGAUUUUAAUAAGGGACAUCAAGACUCCCUUUGACUAUAAUAACUUUUGACUCUAUAAACCCUAAAAAAAUUGAAAUAUGACAUUAAAUAAUUUUUUAAAUUUAAAAUCUUAAAAUAAAUGUAAUAAUAUAUAAGUUGUAAAAUAAUUUUAAUAUUUAAAAAAUAUUUUAAUAUUUACAAUAUAUUAGACCAAUUUUAUUAGAUUAAAGUAAUUUUUAUUAAUAAAUAGAAACAUAAUAUCAAAAUAAAUAAAUUAAAAUUAAAAUUAUUUUGAAUAUAAUGUAAAAAUAGUUUUAAAUUUAUUAAUAUGUAGAUAUUUUGUUAAUUUUAAAAUAUAUUUAACCCAAAGAUUUAUUUAAAAUCUUUAUAAUAUAGAUAAAAAUAUAUUAUUAAAAUAAAUAUAAUAAUUUAAAAUUUUAAUAUUAUUUUAAAUGUUAAAAAUAAUUUAAUAUUAUUAAACUACCAAAUAGAUUAUAUUAUUCAUAGUAAAUUUGUAUUAAUUAAAAAAUUUAAACUUAAUUUUCUAAUUCUUAUAUUCAAAGGAUGUUAUGAUAAAAAGGAGGUUUUGUUAUCCCUUUUUAAAAACUUACUGGUUAUUGUGGCCAUUUCUUUAUCAUAGUUAAUUAUGGGCACAUGCAAUAACAUGAGAACUUUUCGUAAUUUCAUAUUAAAACGACAAGUGAGGAUCCUUAUCCUCGUAAAAUUUUAGAUUGAAUAACUUGAAACACCUGCUAGCAUGAGCAUGUGUGUAAUUUUGAUCAGGUUUAAUUCUCUCAUGAUUUAAUAUUGUAAUGAGUAAAAAUUUAAGUGGUAAUUGAUAAUUAAUAAAUUAAAAAUAUAAAAAAAUUAAAUACUACUCAUAAACUAUUAUUAAAAGACACAUUAUAAGAGUUCAAAUUAUGAGAGUCUUAUAUAUAAUUGUAUAUAUUAACUGGAAAAUUAAUUUGUGUAUAAGCAUUAGAUUCAUGGGUUCAAUAAGCAGUAAAAGAAGAAAGAAAGAAUGUUCAUCAUCGUCACACUCACAGGGCUUGAGAAGAAAAUGGGAGGAAAUGAAUCUUGAUAUUCCAGAGAGGUGUGCCACUUUACGACUUGGUCUGGAAUGUCUCGUUGGUGUGCCGUUCAUGGCAAUUAUUGCUGUUGGCUGUGACCAUAUGUCGGCAAUUCUUUUGACCUUUCAUGUUAGCUUUUGAAUCUCAUAGCUUUAUGCGUUUUCCAUGCUUUGCUUAAUGAUUUUUACUAGUCAACCGUCAAACCCCUUUAACAUUUGUGGUCAUGUUCUCCUAGUUGCCGAACUUUUUUUUUUUUAAUUUUUUUCUUCUUUUCUUAUAAGUCGUUACAGAUAAUCCACAAGUUUAAUCCAAUAAUUGGUAAUAUCAGCUGUAUUGACCACAAGUAAUUAGAUUAACGAAUAAUUGAAUAUUUUUUACUGACAUUAGACCCAAUCAAUAAUCAUGCAGCUUCUUGGAAAAUUAUAUUGAAACCAUUCGAGGUUGGGUAAUUGUACGAGUUCUUUAAUGCAAUUCUCACAUUGAUAUACUGAAUUGAAUCAUUUGCUGUGGGAUUUAAUACAUCUUGAAGGCUUUGUUUCUCUUUAUCUUUAGGUGGAUGCUGGAUUGCUUGGGUAGAAGUUCACUGAUCACUUUGAAAAGUUUGAUGAGUACUUUCAUGUAGCAAGGUUCAGAAUUUUUCAAUUUUGAGGGCCAAAUUUUCUUGGAUUAUUUAAAAUCCAUCUAUUAAUAAACAAAUAUUCUUCUCUAAUAUACAUUAUGUCUUAUAUCUCAUUUGAUUAGGGGAUAACCCCUUUAUAUAUGCUUUUUUUGUAGCAAUGGCAAAAAUCCCCACGGGAACGAGUACGUUUAGAGAUUUUCCCCAUUCGAAGAGGAUACAAAGAUAAUUUAAUACCCAAAUUCUUAUUUGGGGAAGGGACGAGGAUAAUUUUUUACUCAGUUUUUUAUUCGAGAAAGGGACGAGGUGAGGUGGAAUCCCUAUCCCCUCCCCAUUUCCUCAUUUUAAUUUUUAAUUUUAUUUUUUAAAAUGAUUAGUAAAUAAUAAUAAAUUUUGAAUUAUAAAAUAUUAAAUAUUGGUAAAAAUAACAAAUAUCAAAAUAUUGAUAUUAUUAAACUUUUAGUCCUAAUUAACUAAUUAAAGUCUUAAAUUUUUAUUUAAGACAUUAUAAAAGGCCAGGUUGAUUCUAUUAAGCCACAAAUUUUGUUUUAAUGAUAAUAUUCAUUAAAUAUUUUAAACUUAAAUCUAAUAAAACAAAGGUUAAUGCAUAAUUGUAAACAUAAUAGUUAAUACCUAAUUUCUAAUUUUCACCAGCUGCCUUAGAACUCUACUGUAGCUAUAGCCAUUCAUGAUCAUCAUUAUUCAUUACUCACAUCACACCACAUCCAUUCACAUGCCAUCAUUUAUAUGCGCCACAUCACUAUUGUUGAAUAGACAUUCACGAUCACCACCCACAAGUAAGUCUCAAUUCUUUUAAUUUAUGUGUUUAAUUUUUUUAUCAUUUAUCUCUCUUACUGUCACAUCUCACAAGUAAACCAAGAUUUGGUCAUUUUGUGUAGUGGAAGUGGUGGCCUAUACUUGAAGACAACUCUGAUGCUUUUAUUGAUUUUAUAAAAUUCUUGCGCAGAAAUCUUUCUUAAUUGAAAAUUUAAAUUGGUAUUAUGUUUAAUUUAUUUUAUUUGGCACAUUUUUAAACUAAUGGAAGCAAACAUGUCAAGUGCUACACCACAAUUAGUGGAUGUAGUCCAUGUGGAUGAUAAUGGUCAAACAAGAAAUGUUAUUCCAAAUGGGCCAUCAAAAAGAGAAAGAGCUGGAAAAUUAAGAUUUAUUGUCUGGGAUCAUUUUGAGAAAAAGAUAGUUAAUGGGGAACAAAAAGAAGUAUCUAACUAUUGCAAUUCCAAGUUGGUAUCAAGGCAAAAUGAUGAAACAAAGCAUUUGCACAACCAUAUGAAAUCGUUUUUCAUGAAAAAGCAAAAAGAUAUAAAUCAUUACAUAGCAAAGUUGAAUACUGUUAAGGAUCAUAAAGGACAUUCAAAGGUAGAAACUUUUAUUUUUGAUCAAGAUGUCACACGGAAAACAAUUACACAUGCAAUCGUCAAGUAUGAGUAUCCAUUAAAUAUUGUUGAUCAUGAGAGAUUUAGAGAGAUAUUAUCCUCGCUUAACCUAAUGUGGAAGCAUGUGUCCCAAAAUACAAUUAAAAAGGAGAAAUUGGAUUUGUACGAGAAUGAAAAGGCUAAGAAUUUGAAUGCCUUGGCGACUAAUCAAAGUAGGUUGGCCAUCACAACAGAUAUGUGGACUAGGGAUACCAAAACAAAAGGGUACAUGAUAGUUACUGGACACUUUAUUGAUGACUCUUGGAUGUUACUGAGUUUAGUUGUGAGGUAAGGUCUUUAAUUUUAUUUUGUAUUUAACUUAUUUUUUUUCUUAAAUGUUAACUAAAACAAAACUUGGUAAAAUAUAUGUUUUUUUUUCUUUCCUUCCUGUAGGUUUUAGCAUGUAAAAAGUUCAUAUACUAGCUUAAAGCUUUGUGACACAUUAUUGAAUUGCUUGAUGGAUCUCAACCUUGAACAUAGGGUAUCUUCUAUGACUGUGGACAAUUGCUCUGCCAAUGACCGCAUGAUGGAAUAUCUUUUGAUUAAGCUUAAUAGAGAUGAUUUCAUCUUGCAUGGACAAAUAUUUCACAUUCUUUGUUGUGCCCAUAUAUUAAAUUUGAUUGUCAAAGAAGGAAUGAAUGUGAUUAGUGAUGGAAUUGCAAAAAAUCAUGAGAAUGUUGUUUUUUGGACUAGAUCAUGUAAAAAAAAGAAGUUCAAAGAAUUUACUAGUCGUUCGAUGUUAAAUACGAUAAACAAUUAGUGCUUGAUUGUCCUACUAGGAAGAAUUCCACAUAUCUUAUGAUUUAAUCUGCUUUCAAUAUAAAAAUAUUUUUUUCGAUUAAAGCAUAUUGAUGGACAAUAUAACGGUUUGCCUAGAGAGGAAGAUUAGUAGUUUGCCACUAUUUUAGAAGAAAUUUGAAAAGCUUUUAUGAUGUCACUUAGUUAUUUUCAAGAACUCAGUAUCCGAUAUCGAAUGUAUUCUUGCAGCAUGUGUGUGAGAUUAAAUUAUCUUUACAAGAUUGUCUUUUAUUGCCUUGUGAUAGGAUUCAACAUAUGGCUCAGUUGAUGUUGAAAUUUGAUAAAUAUUACCAAGAUAUGAGUGGAAUUUUGGGUGUGGCAUGUAUUUUUUAUCCAAGGUAUAAAAAGAAGUUCAUUAAAUAUUACUUUUCUGUAGUUUAUGGUGAUGACAAAGAGUUACAUGUUGGAAAGGUGGUCGCCCUUUGUGGGAAUUAGUGGAAGAGUAUUAAUUGAAGUUUCCACCAACUGUUUAUUGCUCUGAUUAUAUUGGUAGUAGUUCUUCUUCUACUAGAUCUACAUGGGAUUCUUAUAAGAAAGCAACCAAAUGGAUGAUAAGGUUUGAUGAUUAUGUAAACAAUGGAGAUUGUGCAGCUGUUGCAAAUGAAUUAGAUUCAUAUUUGGAAGAGAAAGUUAUACCACAGAUAGAAUAUUUUAAUCUUUUGAGUUGGUGGUGUUAACAUAUAUGUUUCCAUAAUAUUGAUUUUGAUGAUAACAAACAAGAUUAAGAAUGAUUAAUCUUUUAAGCUCAAAUUAUUUAAUAUUCUUUUUAAAUAAAUCAUUAUUUUCACAUUAUAAAUGUUUUAUAUUUAAUGGAAAAAUGAUUUUAUGAAAUUGAUUGUUUUUAUUCUUUUUAAAUAAAUCAUUAUUUUCACAUUAUAAAUGUUUCAUAUUUAAUGGAAAAAUGAUUUUAUGAAAUUUGUUGCUUUUCAAAGUUUAUGGUUUAAUUGAAAGAAUUUUGAAAACUUUGAAAUAAACAUGUAUUGCUUGAAAUCUUGGUAAAGGACUUAUUUGAAAAGUGUCAUAGCAUUUUGGGCUAUACCAUAAUUUCAGAAAGUUUUGGGAUUAACAAAGCAUUACUUAGAAAUUCUGAAAUUGGACCUAUGUGCAAAGUUUCAUAACGUUUUGAGCCGUAAAAUAGUUUUAUAAAGUUUUGGGGUCAAACUGUAAAUUUAGAAAAAUUUUUCACUGUAGCAAUCACUGUAGCAAACGGCUAACCGUUUAUUUAAAACGGCUAACCGAUAAUUUCCAGAAAGCAUGUUCUGCAAAGUAUUGUUAAAAUGAUGAUUCUGGAAACUAACGGUGAACCGUUUACUGAAAACGGUUAACCGAUUAUUUCCAGAUUGCUAACCUUGAACCGUUUAGUAAGAACGGUUAAAACAAAUUUGUUUUACAGGUCUCUGGAAAUUAACGGCGAAAGGGUAAGCCUAAACGGCUAACCGUUUAUUUGAAAAUUGGCCUAACGGUAACUUUGACCGGCCUAAACGGUUAACCGUUAAUGGUUAACGGCGAACCGUUUUCGAGCAGACAGACUAUAACGGCUAGUUUUUCAGCUCCAACUAUAAAUAAGCUCACUCCAAUUCAAACAAGAAGGAAUUCCAACGAUCAUCAUUGAGCAAAAUAUUGAGAAUACAACUUUCAUUGAGCUUUAAAUCUUUGUAUUCAUCUCAUUCAUUCACACAUUGAGCUUUCACUUGUGAUCAAACACAUUGUGUGAGAGAGAUUCAUUUGUAAUCUUUUUUGUAAAAUCAAGUUAAAAGAUUGUAAGUGUUGGGAUACACUUGGGUUAAGAGAUUGGGGAUAAUCUCUUGUUGUAAAGGUCCAUUGACACCUUGGAAGUCAAUUGUAAGCGUUUGAAGCCUUGGGAGGCUAGCUUAGUGAAAUCCUCAAGCCCGGUGAGCUUGGAGGCGUGGACGUAGGCGGGGAUUGCCGAACCACGUAAAAAUCAUUGUGUUCGUUUUCUCUUCCCUUACUCUUUUAAUAUUGUGCAUGAUUGAAUUUAUUGUUUUCAAUUUGAUUAAGGCAAUAGAUUAAAUUGUUGUGUGGUUUGCUUAGCUUAAAUUUUAAAAUCCCAAUUCACCCCCCCUCUUGGGUUGCCUAGUUAGUAUUUCAUUUGGUAUCAGAGCGAGGUGCUCUUGUGUAGACUUAACCGUCUAGAGUUAAAGAUCCAUGGCAACUCAUAAUGACUCAAUCUUUAGGGAAGGACAAUCCACAAUUAGACCACCGUUCUUUGACGGUAAUGACUACCCUUAUUGGAAAACUAGGAUGAGAAUUUAUUUACAAGCUUUAGAUUAUGAAAUUUGGGAAAUUGUUUGUGAUGGUCCAUUUAUGCCUUUGACUAAAAAUGAAGUCGGGGAAGAUAUUCCAAAACCUUCACGGGAAUAGAAUGAAUUGGAAAAGAGAAAAGCUACUCUAAAUUCCAAAGCUAUGAAUGCCUUGUUUUGUGCACUAGAUAAGAAAGAAUUUCAUAGAGUAUCUAGUUGUGAGAGUGCUAAUGAAAUUUGGCACAAACUUGAAGUUAUUUAUGAAGGCACAAAUCAAGUGAAAGAGUCUAAAAUUAGUAGGUACACUCGGCAAUAUGAAUUGUUCCAAAUGGAACAAAAUGAGAGUGUGUAUUCUAUGUAUACUAGAUUUACGGACAUAGUGAACACUCUAGGAGCCCUAGGAAAGACUUUUUCAAAUAGCGAGAAGGUUAAGAAAAUUAUUAGGUCGCUACCUAAGGAAUGGAGACCAAAAAGGACUGCCAUUGAGGAAGCUAAAGAUUUGAAUAUCUUACCUAUUGAUGAUUUAAUUGGUUCUCUUAUUUCUUAUGAGGAAGACAUGGCAGCCGAAAGAAGCAAUGAGGAGAAGAAGAAAAGCAUUGCUCUCAAAGCCUCAAAAUAUGAGAGUGAUGAAGAAAGCGAGCUGGAUGAGGAGGAGAUGGAUAUGCUGGCUAGGAGGUUCAGAAAACUUUUUAAGAAAUCCGAUGAGCGAAGAAAAUUUAGAGACCUCAAGAACCGAAAGGAGAAGAAUGAAGUAAUCACUUGUUAUGAAUGCAAGAAGCCCGGACACAUACGACCGAAAUGUCCUCUUCUCAACAAACUCAAGAAGAAAGCAAUGGUAGCCACAUGGGAUGAUAGCGAUGAGGAAACAAGUGAUGGUGAAGAGCAUCAAGAAAUGACAAAUCUAGCUCUCAUGGCAAUUGGAGAUAAAUUGGAUGAUGAACUUGAUGAGGUAAAUGAUCUUCUUACUUAUGAUGAAUUAUAUGAUGCGUUUAAAGAAUUGUAUGAUGAGUGGAUGAAAAUUGGUAAAAAGAAUGCAUGUCUUAAAAAGAAAAUGGUAGAGCUCAAAAAUGAAAAUGUAUCUCUAUGUGCAAAGAUUACAUGCCUAGAAUUAGAGAAUAAAACAUUGCAUGAUAGAGUUGCAUUAUCAAAUGAGAAACCUAGCACUUCACAUAAGCAUCUAGAAUAUCACAUAGAUGACUUGAAAAAAGAAAAUGAAAUGCUUAAGAAGAAGAGCAAUGAGUUAAAUGAGAUUGUUUUAAGAUUUACAAAUGGACAAAAGAUGUUGGAUAACUUGAUUAAUUCACAAAAAUGUGUGUUUGAUAAAGGAGGACUUGGUUAUAAGCCACAUUUAAAACAAAAGUAUUAUAAGAACUACUUUGUGAAGAGUACAUCUACUAACAAUCAAGUUGUAUGUCAUUAUUGUAAUCAAAACGGUCACAUGAAGCUUGGUUGUCCUAUUAAAAGAAAAGUAUAUUAUGGAGUAAAAUGUGUUUGGGUUCCAAAAGGAACAAUUGCUAACACUCAAGGACCCAAGAAUAUUUGGGUACCAAAGGGCACAACGUGAAUGUUUUCUUUGUAGGUACCACAAUCAAGGAAUGGUGGAGAGUUCCUUGAUGAAAGCUUGUGAGAAUAAUCACUUGAGUAUGAUCUAGGAGAAAAAGAUGAGGCAAGAUGAUUUAAUUGUUUUGGUAACAAUUCUUGCCAUAUUAAUUUUGUUGAAUGAAUCAUGAUAAAUGAAUUUGCGAAAGUAUGAUUGUAUGUUUACAUGAUUAAAUUAUCAUUGUGUUUAACAUUGAGUGUUUUAUCAUGAUAGCUUAUCAACUCAUCAUGAUGGAUUUGUUUGAUGUUAAUGUUUAUGAAGUGUUUAAGCAUGAUAGUUAAGUGGUGUGUUUGAUCUAUUCACUUUUGAAUGCUUAUAUGUUUAAUUAUUGUGAAAAUCUCUAGUCUGCACAAGCUGUAAUGAAUUGGUCAUAACUCUUUCUAGAGAACUCCAAAUCCAGUUCUGUAAAAUUUAUUGGAAAGCUAACUUAAUUAUCUUUCCAACGGUAUAUAGCUUGCAUGUUACUUCCGGCUCAAUCAAUACAGUUUUUAUUCCGAAUUUGACCUUUCUGCAUUUUAUUAAGUUUUGAAUGCUUAUAUGUUUCAUGAUUGUGUAAAAUAUACACAUGAUGAAUGAAUUAUAUGUGUGAAUUCUUGUGCCGUUAAUUGUGUUAUAUCAUCAUUCACUUAUAAAAUUGACAUCAUUGUUUAAUACGAUUUCAUAUGUUUGGUCUUGUAUGCAUUUAUGUCUCAUGCAUUAAAUGGCUUAUUGAAAAGUUUUAAAUCUCAAAAUGAUUUAAAAUUAAUCAUUUUUUAAGGCCGGAAAUAAAAUGAUGUGUGUAGUACAAGUAUAAGAGCAAGCAAAUAUUCUCUUUCCAUUCAUUCGGAAAAACAUUUUUUCUUAUUGAUUUCUCUCGGGACAAAUUCCGGAUAACGGUUCUUCAAUCCGGAAAACCGAAUUUGAAAGGGAACUCACUGCCUCACAACCGGUCUACCGGUUAUCAAAACCUGCAAGCCGAAUUCUUGCUUGUUGCUCUCGGGUUCAUAUCCGGCCAACCGGAUCUCAAAUCCGGCAGAUCGUUUUCGGUUUUCAAGUCACUACCCUAUAACUGGCUAGCCGGUAAUGAAAUUCGGCAAGCCGGAUUCAAAGUUUUUAACACUAUUCCUCUUCCUCUCUCUUUUCGGCAUUCCGGUUCUCUCUCUCUCUCACUAAAAGCCGAUUACUCCUCACUUGAUUUCAUUCCAAAAUCCAUCAAUCUCAUCCUUUUUCACUUCAAAUCCUUUAUGCUUGUAUUUGAACACACCAACAUUUAUUAUUUUGCAUUUUGGAUUAUAUGGAUGUUUGCUAUGAUUUUGAAUUAUAUGUUUCUUCUCACCCUAAGGACUUAAUUUUAGGAGAUCCAUCACAAUAUGUAAUUACUAGAUCAUCACUUAAAAAUAUAUGUGAGCAUUUGUAAUAAUGGAUUUGAUCACUUGUUCUUUAGCUCAUAAUGAUGGCUUUUUAGCUAUGUUGAUUUUGAUGAUCUAUAAUGGCAUAUGUUGAUUUUGAUUAUUUAUAUAUUGCUAUUAUGUACUUAUGCUUUACUUAAGUUUUGAUGAUAAAGAAUGUGCUUGAUUUGAAGUCUUGAUGAUUGAUAGGGGGAGAUAAAUAUGAUAUAUUUUUGGAUAAAAUCAUUUUGGUUAAAUUUUUUAAUUGGCCAUAUAUUUAGGGGGAGCAUACAAUAUGAUUUUAAAUAAUAUGCAUUUUGAGUCAUUGUUUUGAUAAUUGAUAUUUGAUUAUAUGAUGAUGAUAAUUUGUGAGUAAUAUUACUAAUCUUGUAUUUGAGAUGAUGCUUGUUGUUAGGGGGAGAUUUUGUCAAAAUCUCUAUUCGGACAACAUGGGUAACAAAUUUGCUAUUUUUUUUAUUCUUUUCCUUUACGUUUUCUUUUUUAUGAUGAAGGGGGAGAAGAAUACAGGUUUUCAAAUUUAUAAAAAUUUGCUACUUUUUUCUUUGCCAAUUAAGUUUUUCUUUUUGAUGAUGAGGGGGAGAAAAUCCAUGUAUUUAAAUAUGUUAAUUUAGCUAAUUGGCAAAUUGUAAAAGAAGAUUAUAUUUAGGAGCAAUUUGUGGAAUCAUUCUUUAAAUACAUGAAAUGCUUGUCAUCAUCAAAAAGGGGGAGAUUGUUAACAUAUAUGUUUCCAUAAUAUUGAUUUUGAUGAUAACAAACAAGAUUAAGAAUGAUUAAUCUUUUAAGCUCAAAUUAUUUAAUAUUCUUUUUAAAUAAAUCAUUAUUUUCACAUUAUAAAUGUUUUAUAUUUAAUGGAAAAAUGAUUUUAUGAAAUUGAUUAUUUUUAUUCUUUUUAAAUAAAUCAUUAUUUUCACAUUAUAAAUGUUUCAUAUUUAAUGGAAAAAUAAUUUUAUGAAAUUUGUUGCUUUUCAAAGUUUAUGGUUUAAUUGAAAGAAUUUUGAAAACUUUGAAAUAAACAUGUAUUGCUUGAAAUCUUGGUAAAUGACUUAUUUGAAAAGUGUCAUAGCAUUUUGGGCUAUACCAUAAUUUCAGAAAGUUUUGGGAUUAACAAAGCAUUACUUAGAAAUUCUGAAAUUGGACCUAUGUGCAAAGUUUCAUAACGUUUUGAGCCGUAAAAUAGUUUUAUAAAGUUUUGGGGUCAAACUGUAAAUUUAGAAAAAAUUUUCACUGUAGCAAUCACUGUAGCAAACGGCUAACCGUUUAUUUAAAACGGCUAACCGAUAAUUUCCAGAAAGCAUGUUCUGCAAAGUAUUGUUAAAAUGAUGAUUCUGGAAACUAACGGUGAACCGUUUACUGAAAACGGUUAACCGAUUAUUUCCAGAUUGCUAACCUUGAACCGUUUAGUAAGAACGGUUAAAACAAAUUUGUUUUACAGGUCUCUGGAAAUUAACGGCGAAAGGGUAAGCCUAAACGGCUAACCGUUUAUUUGAAAAUUGGCCUAACGGUAACUUUGACCGGCCUAAACGGUUAACCGUUAAUGGUUAACGGCGAACCGUUUUCGAGCAGACAGACUAUAACGGCUAGUUUUUCAGCUCCAACUAUAAAUAAGCUCACUCCAAUUCAAACAAGAAGGAAUUCCAACGAUCAUCAUUGAGCAAAAUAUUGAGAAUACAACUUUCAUUGAGCUUUAAAUCUUUGUAUUCAUCUCAUUCAUUCACACAUUGAGCUUUCACUUGUGAUCAAACACAUUGUGUGAGAGAGAUUCAUUUGUAAUCUUUUUUGUAAAAUCAAGUUAAAAGAUUGUAAGUGUUGGGAUACACUUGGGUUAAGAGAUUGGGGAUAAUCUCUUGUUGUAAAGGUCCAUUGACACCUUGGAAGUCAAUUGUAAGCGUUUGAAGCCUUGGGAGGCUAGCUUAGUGAAAUCCUCAAGCCCGGUGAGCUUGGAGGCGUGGACGUAGGCGGGGAUUGCCGAACCACGUAAAAAUCAUUGUGUUCGUUUUCUCUUCCCUUACUCUUUUAAUAUUGUGCAUGAUUGAAUUUAUUGUUUUCAAUUUGAUUAAGGCAAUAGAUUAAAUUGUUGUGUGGUUUGCUUAGCUUAAAUUUUAAAAUCCCAAUUCACCCCCCCUCUUGGGUUGCCUAGUUAGUAUUUCAGGUGGAAGAUAAAUGCACAUAGGUAUCCCAUAUUAGCUUGAAUUGCUAGAGAUAUUUUGGUAAUUCCAAUUACAAUUGUUGCUUUCGAAUCAGCUUUAAGCACCAGUGGCAGAGUUGUGAGCCCACACCGUAACAAACUUCAUCCAAGCAUAUUAGAGGCCUUAAUGUUCUAUCAAAGUUAGCUAAGAGCUUACAAUGGCGGUAUGAAUUUAUUUUGCAUUGCAAUUAUAUUAUAAAAAUUAUUAAUAUUUUCAUUUAUAAGUUACAUUACUUAUAUUAUUUUUAUCAUUUUAGGUUUGAAAUCUAAAGCUAUCUCUCAAUUUGCCACAUUCCUUGAGAAAGAACAAGAGGAGCAUGAGGUGCAAGAGGUAAAUAGUUUUAUUAAAAAUAUUAAUUAAAUAUCUAUAUUUAUUUUAUUGUUGAUAUAAAAGUAGUUUCUUUUUCUUUUUAUUGUAGGAUUAUAAAGAUUGACAAAGAUAAUUAUUUUGAUAGUUUGUAUUUUACAUGUGACUUUUAUAAUGGAUCAAUGUUAAUGUAGGAUAUAUUUCAAAUUUUACUUUUAUUUAAUUUUUUAUUUUACUAUGAUUAAAUUAAAAUCGAACACAAAAAAUAUAUUAGGUAUUCGGGGAUCGAGGACCCUCGGGGAUCCCCUAUUAGUAUUCGGGGAGGAGAUGAAGAUUUUCUAAAGCAAUUUUAACGGGAAUGAGAAGAGAAAUGGACAUAUGUAAAAUAUUGGGGAUGGGUAUGGGAAGAUUGGUCCCCUCUCCUCCCCUCCCUAUCGCCAUCCCUAUUUUAUUGUCUUUUCCAACUUAUUUUUCAGCCAACGGUUGUGGAAAAAAAAAAGAAAAAGAGUUUUCCCAAAGACAAGUCAAGCUUCUACCAAGCUACAAACAACAAAAGCAAACAUAACCCAACUUAGAUUGAAAAAUACAUUUAAAAAUGCGGCCAUCGAGGUCCAGGUUUUGCCAUCAUUAUUUGGGUCUAAACAGGUCUUGCCAAACACAAGGAUGCUCACCUUCAAAUUUUGAAAUCCUUUCAUUAGGUAUUGUCAGAUUCAUGAAGCCAAAACAUUUCUUGGUUUCUCAUCUCUGAAAUGGAAAUUUGUUUGAGACCUUUUUUCAUUGGUGUCUUUCCCUCAAGUUCCUGAGAAAUGCGUUGCAUUGUGGGUCGAGAUUUGGGUUUAGAACGCAAGCAAGCUAAUGCUAUAGUUGAAACAAGAAUAAUAGCUUGAAUAAUCUUUUGAUUGACUGGAGGCGAGAGACGUUGAUCUAAAAUAUCGAUCAACAUGAUUUUUGGGCCCGAUGAGGAUGAUAAUGACGAGAGAAGUUCUCCUGGAUGUGUUCCCAUUAAUACUUCGAGUGUCACUACCCCAAAACUAUAAAUAUCACAUUUCUCUGUCACAACCAUAGUAUAGGGAAGUUCUACAUGAAAAGAAAAGUGUAAGAUUAUGUCUUCAAAAAUAAAACCAUAGAGUGUAAUGAGAAACAGAACCAAAUAAUUUGUUCACCUGGGGCAAUAUAUCCGUAAGUGCCCGCUCGUAGGGUUCUAUUGGAUGAAUCAACAUGGAGAAGUCUAGCAGUGCCAAAAUCAGCAACAAACGCCUUCAAAUUUGAGUUAAGUAGAGUGUUGUUGCUUGAUAUGUCGCGGUGAACAAUUGAUGGAGUGCAGUCGUGAUGCAGGUACGACAAAGCGUGAGCCACACUCUUCACGAUGUUCACUCUUCUAGUCCAAUUCAAUAGCUUCGUCAUCAUCGCGUAAAACACAGAACAAGCUUCCUCUUUCCAUGUACUCAUAAAUAAAAAACAUGCAUCUUUUGUGCAAGCAAAAACCAUAAAGUUUCACAAUGUUCCAAUGUCGUACUGUGGAGAGUACACGAGCCUCGUUUUGGAAACUCUCGACAAAAGCUGAAUCCUCUGUUUCAGAUUGGUGAAGCUUCUUCAAAGCAACAACUUUUCCGUUUGGUAGCUCUGCCUUGUAAACACUGCCGUAACCUCCAGUUCCGAUGCAAUAUCUGAUAUGAAAAUCUUCUGUUGCAUCAAUCAGAUCUUCAUCUAAAAUUAUACCAUCAUAAUUCCACACUGAAAACACAUCUCCAUUCUUUGCAGCUCUUGUCACAAGUUUCGGAUUUUCACUCUUACCCUUAAGGAGUAAAAUGAAUCCAAAUAUUGUGAAGGCGAGAACUAGAGUGAGGGGAAGAAAAAUUUUAACAGACAGAAUGAAUGAAGGUGCAAGUCUAUGUCGCUGAGAGCAAGAAGGAAAACCUUGAACAUGGCCGCAUAAGCCCUUGUUGCCUACAAAACUCUUUGGUGGAUUAUCCCGCAAUUAAGUUGGAAUUUCACCUUCCAAAUUGUUGAAUGACAUGUCUAAAAACAUUGGAUGGAGAGUCAUAGGUAUGGUACCUGAAAGGUUGUUGUGAGAAAGGUCGAAGUUUUGAAGCAAUAAAAUUUUUCCAAUCUCUAGUGGAAUAGUUCCAUCCAAGCUAUUGUGGUUCAAUGCUAAAUGCUGUAACUCUGUGCAGUUGCCAAUCCUAGUUGGAAAGGAACCACUAAGUUUAUUUUUAGAGAGGUCUAAAGACACAAGGUUAAAGAGUUUUCCAAUUGCAAAAGGUAUUUGGCCUGAAAGUAGGUUUGAUGAAAGAUUGAGAUAUUGAAUGUUGGAUAAUUUGGAGAGCUCGUCUGGAAUGAUACCACGUAUUUUGUUAUCAGAUAAGUCUAACUCUUCUAGAGCACUAAAAUUCCCUAUUUCUAGUGGAAUGAAGCUGUGGAGUUGGUUAGAUCUGAGAUCCAAAUACAGCAGGCUGGUUAAAUGACCUAGAGUUGAAGGAAUAGCUCCGGUUAGCUUGUUAGUUAUGAUAGACAAAUGCGUCAAAUUCUUUAGAUUUCCUAUUUCAUGUGGAAUUGUGCCAUUGAACUGAUUGCAACCAAGAAAUAAACGCUUAAGAUUUGUUAAACGAAACAGGGUUGAAGGAAUAGGUCCACCUAAUGUGUUAUACAUAACAGACAGCCAGAUUAAACUUUUUAGAUUCCCGAUUUCUUGACAUAAUACACCACUGAGUUUGUUACUACGCAAAUAAAGCUCCUCUAGAUUUCUUAAGCUCCCAAUUUCUGUAGGGAUAGUACCUGUAAUGAGAUUGAUUAAAGGAAGAAUGAACGUUAAUGAUUGUUUUUUAAUGAAUAUAAAUUAAAUAUAUAUCUAGGCAAGCUAACUACCAAAAUUAAUUGGUAACUCACCGUGGAGGCUGUUAUUACUCAAAUAAAGCACCUCCAGAUUUCUUAAGCUCCCAAUUUCUUUUGGGAUAGUUCCUGCAAUGUGAUUGAUUAAAGGACGAAUGAAUGUCAAUGAUUAUUUUUCAACGAAUAUAAAUCAAACAUACAGCUAGGCUAGCUAGCUACAAUAAUUAUUUGGUAACUCACUCACCUGUAAGAUUAUUCCAACGCAGAUUAAGGUAUUUGAGAUUUGAAAGAGAACCAAUUUGGGGUGGAAUGCUUCCCGAUAGAUUAUUGUUCCAAAGAUUGAGAUAUUGCAGGUUUGGAAAGCAAGAAAAGUUGAGGCUGCCAAGUUCCCCUUGAUACUGCAUUCCACUAACUCUAUGUGGGUGAUACUUCCUUUAUAAUCGCAAGUGAUACCAAAGCAAUUGCAAUGAUCUGAAGUAUUGUGGGGAAUCCUGUCCUUCCACCAGCCGCUGUUGAGUAAAGCUUGUCUUUCUAUUUCAGAUGCUGCAACAUGAAUACUAAUAUUGGUAGCAGAUGCAACAUGGACUAUCAAAAGAGUAAGGGCAGCCCAUAUGAAUACGAUGACUGCUCUGCAAGUAUUGGAGAAAGCACACGCCAUGUUUAAGAUAGCUUCAACAAAGCUAGGUUCAAGCUAUAAAGACUUUUGCAAUUUGUUCAUGAACAAACUUGCGGGUGACUAAACUCUACCCACUUAAAUAAUUUUUUGGAGAAAGCACAAGCAUUUUUUAUUUCGUAUAUACAUAAUUCAUGUUUCAUUAACGUGGUUUCAAUAACAUUACAGUUUUGAAAUGAAUAAAUCAAUCGUGAUGUGCCUUUAGACCGAGUCCAAAUGAUAUUAUUACUUUUUUUUUUGUUUUUUUGGUCACAUGCACGUUUUUUCUUCUUUUGACAAGUGUAGAGACUUGUAUAAAACAAUUGUCUUUCUAUUUAAACCGCCCGCAAAUAGAAUAGUGAAUCACUUUUCCUAUUAAGCAGAAAGUGGUUCGACUUUUUGAGAAGGCAGACACCAUCUUUAAGAUUAUUUUAGCAAAGGUUGAAGGUAAGUGAGACACCAUCUUUAAGAUUAUUUCAGCCAAGGUUGAAGGUAAAUGACUGUGCUCUGGCUAAUAAUUUUUUAUUUUUUUGUAAAAGGUAUGGGUACCAGGUAACCAAAAUCGAUUUUUUAACCCUUAUUUUUUUUUGAGGAUUCAAAUUUCGGUGGUCAUCUAAUUAAAUCCACUUGAUACCUCUCGGCUAAGGUCUUGAGGACAGCUAAGAAUAAAAUUAAGAAGUAGUAAAUUACUUAACUUUUAGUUGAUAGAUUACAAUGAAAAGGUUUUCUUAUGUAAUAUACAUAUUCGUGUUUCAUGAGAUUUCAUUUACCCAACCUUUUUUUUUUUUAGGCUUUCCGAAACGCGGUUUUAAAAAAGUUGCAGAAGAAAAAGAGAAGAAGGUAAAUUAAAGCAUCAGACAGUUUUGAUUUUGAAAUGAAUAAAUCAAGCUUCAUACCUUUUGACCGAAUCCAAAUUAUAUUCUCUUUACAUUCGUAAAGCAAAGUUCUCCACUCAUUUUUUGGGGCGGGGCCUUCAGGGUUUUAGAGGUGUAGAUCAUGGAUUGAAACAAUAACACACUGGCUUUAGCCACACAUAUUAAUCUACUUAAAAUUACAACACUCAGCUACUUGGGGAGCUUUUGCUAUUGUUUAUCAAUAGUGUUUUUUAACCUUGUUUUACACAAGAAAAAUGAUGUUUAUGAUGUAAUGUUUAAAAAAAAAUUAAAUGCAUUUGUUAGUUUUUUUUUAUCAAAAUUAUACAUAGAACUGAAAAGAGCGAAAACACAUUUUGUUAUAUUUCCUCACUGACAAAGUCACACUGGCUUUAGCUAAUUUACAGUUCAAGUUUGAAAAUUACUCCACUACUUCCAUUUUAUUGAAUAAUCACCUUCACUUUAUUGCAGUAUUUUUUCAAUGAUUUGAACUUAAACUGUAACUCAUGCACAUGAAAAAUUGAAGUCAAAGUUCUACAGGUAUUUCUAAAAAUGUUUUUUGAUGAGCAAACAUUGACCAAAACAGCUUCAAUAAAAGGUACCUUAAUAGCGUUAAUGAAACACUUGCAGGGAUUAAACAAACCACAGCGAUCGAUCAACCAAAUUCUUUCCUUGUUUUCGAAGUUUUUGGAUUGAAAUUUCUUGAAAAAUGCAAGUUUUGCUAAUGGAGUAUUGUUUGCGAGAAAUUCUUGAUACACAUGUUGCAUUGUAGAUAACUCAAGCCGUGUCAGGUCGCGUAAUAAACCAUCCAUAAAAUUUCUUACAUUUGAAAAACUCCUAAUAUGUAAUUGAGAUAUUUGUCCGAAAUUUUAAGAUGUGGUGGAAUGAUAAAGAUUAUGUCAUUCUAAUAGACAGUUGCCAACUUUGCAAGCAAAUUUGAUACUCAUCAUCAGUUGGCUCAGUGUCACAUCCUCUGAUCAUGAGACUUUGUUAUUAUUAAAAAACGUGAAAAGCCAAAGAAGAAAUUCUUCCCUAUUUCCCGUGGAAUUGAGCCAUUGAACCGGUUUAAAUAAAGACUCAAACUCUAAGGUUUGUUAACCGAAACAGGGUUGAAGAAUAGGUCAAAUAGGUUGUUAUAGUAAACAGUCAACCAGGUUAGACUUUUUUAGAUUCUCGAUUUCUUUGAGAUCGCACACCACUAGGUUUGUUACUACUCAAAUGAAGCACCUCCAGAUUUCUUAAGCUCCAACUUUUUAGGUGGAUGGAAAGGAAUUGAAGAGAAAAGAGGCUGUUGUGCUUUCUUUCUAUUGAAUUAUUGUAAGGAAUUGUAGAAUCAAUUGGGUUGAGUAAAUAAUUCUAUUUCUGAAACUUCUAAUAUAAGACCUAGUCCCUAGAAAAACUAAAAGAAAAUCAUGUGAAUCCAUUUAAUAUGAAUUGAUAUUUGCUAGCUCCAGCCUAAUUAUUGUGAAGAAAUGUUCCCGAUAACUAGUUUUGGGCAGUUUGUUUUACAUAUGAUAGCUUAGCUUUUAAUUUAAAUUUUUAAUUUCUCUUUUUCUUUUACCAAUCCAAGUGGAUUGUCGAACCUGAUUCAAACACAAUCCGAUCGAAUUUGUAGGACAAUAAUUCAAACUCAAAUAUUUCGCACUAUUAGAAAAAUAAUCUUUACUGACAUUUGGUUUGUGACACUUCAUUAAAAAGUAUCAGUAUUUUCAUACAUAUGGACCAUUUUCUAUAUUUAACAUAUAAGCACCACAAAUUACCAAUACUAUAGUGUUUGUAAGUUAGACGUCAGGAAUCUAUGACAUUAAGGUAUUAGAAAUAAAAACAAAGUAAUUAUAAUCAUGUUUAAGAUAGAACUCAAACCGAGGACCUCCAAUAUUGAAGCGUUUAAGUUCAAGAAAAAGAUCAUUGGAAUUUUUAUUAGUGACACCAAGGUAUCAAUGAAUGAAAAUAAAUUCUAACCUUAUUCUAAAUUGAUAUUCGAACCGAAGACCUUCAAAGCUGAAGCUUUUAAGUUUAAAAUUACAACCAUUGUGACUUUUUGUUACUUACAAUAAAGCAUCCGUCAAAAACUUGAAAUGUAUUGAGCGCAACUGAGUGAAAAUUUUAGCAAGUUUUGGUUGAAAUUUUACAAGUAAAUUUAUUAUUUUUAAUUAGAAAUGGUAUCAUUUCACUUAGAAAAGAUAAAUAUAAGUAAAACACACUGUUAAAAAUUAUCAUGGAGUACAACGAUGAGUACGGGAUGAUCCAAUUAGAGACUUCGGGGUUGUUUGUUUUUUAUCUGAAGUCUGAAUCUUAAUUAUUUUAAGAUAUUUACAGUUUUUAUUUUGUUUGUUUUCUAUCUCUUAUGUCUGAUUAUAAAAUAUUAAAGCUUGAUUAGAAAAAGUUAAAUAUUUUGAUUUUUGUCUUAAUGACAACAUCUAAAUGGAAUUUUAAUAUUCUCUCUCAUUAAUACCCUUAUUAAAUAAAUUUAUUUCCUAUUAUAUAAAUUAUCCUUUUAUUAUUUUUUAUUUAUCUUUUUUUUUGUUAUAUACAUGUGUUCCGCUAUUAGUUUUUUGGUUAAUGAGAAUUUUAAACAUAAUUAAUUUUUAGAUGAAUGUGUUUUAUAAUAAAUCCAUCACUUUACAUUUAUGUUUACUAUUUUUAUAAUCGAUUUUGAAUUUUAUUUAAUACAUUAAUUUUAAUUCAAAUGAUUAAAAAAUUCUUGACUGAUUUAUUUGAUUAACAAGAAAAAAUAUCAAUAUAAUAUACUAAAAAUAACAUUAUAAGUAUGAUAUGUUAAUGUAAAAAAAAAAAAUACAUGUGUCACAUUAUCAAAUUUUGUUUAACUAAUCAAAUGAUUUAUUUACAACUUGCUAUAUAUUUAACCAAUAAAUAUAAGUAUUUUUAAUAAAUAUAUAACUUCAAAAUUUCAGAUGUUUUCUUUUUGAAAAAAAACAACUUAACAUUUAUAUCAAGAUAUUAAACAAAGAAAAAAAAAUAUGUUAUUAAGAUAUAUGCAUUCAAAUCUAUUUACACUUCAGUUAAAUUCAGACCCAUUCAGAUUUCAGACCAGAAAAAAAAUGCUACCGUACCAAUAAUCUAUAUAUUAGAGCUGUCAUUAUUCCACCACACAUUAAAAUAUUGGAUAUACAUCUCAAAAAGGUGGGCAAACAAUCCUAAAUUACUUCGGAAAAUGUUAACAUUACAAAUCUAAAUUUUAAUAGAGCCUUAAUACUAUUUAAAUCUGAGUGACAUACGUUGUGUAACAUAUAUAAUUAUAUUUAGGGCCUUGUUAUCUUACAUGAUAAAGUUAAUUACAUUAAGUAAAUAUGGUCCGUUAGAUUGGACUAAUGAAAUUGGACAGAUGGAGAUUAAUAGCAUAACAAAAGAUAAUAAGCGGGCAAAUGUGGUCCGCUAGAUUAGACUAAUGAAAUCGACAAUAUUGCGCCACUUGUGUUUGGUAGAACUGGUUUGAUCGGUUGAAACCCGGUUACAAAAAUAAUCAAUGUAGCUUUAAUCCCUUCUACUAACCUCGGUAAAGCCUAAAACGAUGUAGAAGUUUGCAUUUAGCAAAUAUCAGCGAUACCAAGAAUGCUGUGUUUUUCCGUUCAAAAAAAAAAAAGGAAAAGAAUAUUGUGUUUUUAUCCUCAGCUUAAUCCGUCCGACACUCCGGCAGUCCUUUGUCUUUUUGUGCAGAUAUUCUUCAUUCAUCGUUUCCUCUGUGCCUUUCAUUGCUUGUCCACCAACCCGAUUAUAAUCUUUCAAAUUUAAUUUCCUGACUGCUAGUCCCAAUUCCGCCUCCAAAGGAGCGGUUGAAAGAGAGUGCUUCACAGUGGCACCAUGGUUGUGUCUAAUGUUUCAUUGAUGGCCGUGAUAGAUGUAAAAGAGUAAGUCCUUAUUUUUUAAGCUAAUUUAAUUAAUGAGAAUGGAAACUGAGAAAGAAGAAAAUUUAUUAAUGAUUAUGUCGGCAUCUUAAUUGCCGGGGCUUGUGUAGUAUCUUAAAGCUUUGACAUUUUUUUACCUCUCAUAGAGCGGGGUUCAAUCACCCAAACUUGCACUGUUGGUGAAUUUCCUAAUAUGGAGGCAAAGAACAAAGAAAAAUUUCUUAGGAUUUGAGACGUGUUUGCACACUUUCCUUUAAGAUUUUAUUUGCCCUCACCAAUCUUGAUUUGCUAUAGAGUUUUAAUGGCAAAUUACCCCCAAGAUAUAUCAAAUCCUGAAUACAAUCUCUAGCAAAUAAGAUUGUAUUUCCAGAACAUAUAUGAAAUCUGUAAAAUCUGAUAUUGAUCUAAUUGUGUGUCUCUCUUUAAUGAAGAAGAAGUUUAAUUUUAAAAGAAUACAACCAUUAGAAAUGGUACUUCUUCAAAGACACUCUUUUGGUUUGAAUUUGCAUCGAUUGACAUAUGAAAUUUUCAAGCUUGCUAACCGUUUUUCCAGUUGACGCAAAAACACGCUCUCUGGAUAUAAACGGUUAGCCGUUUUCUCAAUAACGGUGAGUCGUUUUAUUCCAGAAUGUCAAAUAAGUUGCUCUCUGUAAAUAAACGGUUAGCCGUUUUCUCCAGAAACGGCAAACCGUUUUCGUCCAAAAUAUCAAACCAAAGAUUGAAAAAUGUCACAAUCUCUCUUACAAUCCCCACUAGAUUGUAAUAUUUUUCAGAUUUAUUAAUGAUAAACUUAUACAUACAAAAAGGUAUCUUUCGAUUUUAACAUUUAAUUAGUGAGUGUAUAUCAAAGCAUUUACAAGACAAUAGUGUGCUAAGCAUUAAAUUUUGUCUCUUAAGUAAAUAUCGGAGAUACAUCACAUAUAAGCUAUCCUAGAUUUCAAAGUUGUGUUCCAAUAUUUAGCACUAUUCCGGCCUUGUGCUCUAUCUUGGAUUCAUGAACAUUUACAAGAUUAAACCAUGACCUUGUUAGAAACGACACCAUUUCUUAUGCUCACUUAGGUGAAGUUUCAAAUCAUGUCUUUAGCUACUAUAAGACUUGAACUUCAUUAAGAGUAAAUACUCAACCUCAACCUCGUAGCUAUUUGCACCGAAUAUCUCGAAUGAGAUUAUUUAUUACUCGAUGCCAAACCAGUCACAUAACAACAACUUGUUAUUACCCAUUUAACUAUGGAGUAGCGGUACAACUACUACAUAGUUGGGUUACCGUCGUUGGUGACUUUAUUAUGUAAAGGUUUCAAUCCCAUUCCAAAAGAUGUAUCCUUAACUAAGUCUCUUAAAAGACCUUUUGUUAAAGGAUCUGCAAGGUUCUUAUUAGUCCUAACAUAAACAAUAUUAAUAACACCAUCUGCUAUUAAUUGUUUCACAUAUUCAUGUCUCAAGCUAAUAUGUCUAGACUUUCCAUUAUACACUUUAUUAUAAGCUCUAGACAAUGUAGUUUCACUAUCGUAGUACAAAGAAAUAGAUGGCAUCGGUUAUGGCCACAACAUUAUAUCAAACAACAAAUUUCUCAGCCAUUCUGCUUCCUUGCCUGCAGCUGCAAGUGCUAUAAACUCACUUUCCAUUGUUGAAUGAGUUAUGCAUGUUUGUUUCUUUGAAGCCCAAGAAACCGCUCCUCCAGCAAUUGUAAAAAUCCAACCAUAAGUGGAUUUAUUAUCUCUUGUAUUGGUUACCCAACUAGCAUCUGAAUAUCCUUCCAGUACUUCAGGAUAAUCAUUAUAAACAAACUCAAAUUAAUGGUCCUUUUAAGAUAACCAAGUAUCCUACCAAUUGCUUUCCAAUGUUCAACACUAGGGCUACUCGUGAAUCUUGACAUUUUACAAACUGCAAAUGCUAUAUCAGGCCUCGUACAAUGCAUAGCAUACAUCAAGCUACCAAUAGCACUAGCAUAUUCUAGUUGUGCUACUACUCGGCCUGAAUUCUCUAGUAAUUUAAUACUAGAAUCAUAUGGGGUAUUAGCUUCUUUAAAUUUCAAAUAAUUGAAUUUAAGAAGCAUUUUCUCUAUAUAAUGAGAUUGACACAACGAGUAACCCCCACUAUGUUUCUUCACUUUGACACCUAAGAUAAUAUUUACUUCACCAAGAUCUUUCAUUUUAAAUUUUGAAGUUAAAUACUUCUUUGUAUCAUCUACUCCUUGCAUAUUUGUUCCAAAGAUAAGCAAGUCAUCAACAUACAAGCAUAUAAUCACACCAAAAUCAUUUGUAAAUUUAAAAUAUAUACAUUUAUCAGCAUUAUUAUGCUUAAAACCAUGAGAUAAAAUUACCGAAUCAAACUUCUCAUGCCAUUGUUUUAGUGCUUGCUUUAAACCAUAAAGUGAUUUGACUAACUGCAUACAUUUUUCUCAUUUCCUGGCAAAACAAAUCCCUCAGGUUGUUCCAUAUAGAUUUCUUCAUCAAGAUCACCAUUAAGAAAAGCGGUUUUAACAUCCAUUUGAUGCACAUAAAAAUUGUUCAAUGAAGCAAUUGCAAAUAGCACUCUUAUAGAAUUUAACCUUGCUACCGGAGCAUAUGUAUCGAAAUAAUCAAUACCAUUAUUUGCUUAAACCCUUUGGCUACUAAUCUAGCCUUAAAAGUUUGCAAAGAACCAUCACUAUUGCAUUUUCUUCUAAAUACCCAUUUGCUGCUAAUUGGUUUAGAUCCUAGAGGAAGAUCAACCAAGACCCAUGUUUGAUUUGACAUAAUCCAAUCCAUUUCAUCAUUUACCGACUCUCUCCAAAAAGAAGCGUCUCUAGAAGACAUAGCUUCACUAAAUGUCUUUGGAUCUUUUUCAAUAUUUAACAACAAUGGUACUUUGUUAAGUACAUUCUUUCUAUCCCCUUCAACCAAGAAGAGUAGUGCUUGUGAUGAAAUAAAAUCCGGAGCUAAACUCUUUUCUUUCUUUUCACGUUGACUCCUCCUUGGUUCGAAAGAUGUCAUAGACUCUUUCGUUUUAUUAUUGUUAGUGGAGGUAACAGGAGUAUUAACACAUGGUUGAUCAAUAAUUGAUUCUAAUUCAAUAUUAGAAUCAUGUUGAAAUUUAUUCUCAAUAAAUUCAACAUCUCUAGAUUCCACAAUCAUAUUAGAAUCUAAAUCUAACAACCUAUAAGCCUUGGAAUUUUCAGCAUAUCCUACGAAAACACUCUUUAUACCUCUAACACUUAACUUUGAUGAUUUAGGAUCAUGUAUUUUAUAAAAAGCUAAACAACCCCAGACCCUUAAAUACAUCAAGUUUGGUUUUCUUCCUUUCCAAAUUUCAUAAGGAGAUAUAUGUGUUUUCAAAGAUGUAAUUCUGUUAUGAAUAUGACAUGCAGUGAGUAAUGCUUCCCCCUACAAAUUAUUUGGUAGUUUUGCAUUAAGGAUCAUGGAAUUUAUCAUAUCCGUGAAGAUCCUAUUCUUCCUUUCAGCCAAACCAUUUUGUUGAGGAGUAAAUUGAGCUGAUUUUUGGUGAAUAAUUCCAAAUUCUUCACAAUAAUUAUUAAAUUCAAUUGAGAAAUAUUCACCACCUCUAUCACUACGAACCAUUUUGAUUUUCUUAUCUUUUUGGUUCUCAACUUCAGCUUUGAAAAUUUUAAAUUUUUCAAAAGCUUCAUUUUUUAUUCUAAGUAAAUACACAUAAGUGUAUCUAGAACAAUCAUCAAUAAAAGUGAUAAAGUACCUCUUACCUCCUCUUGUUAAAACGCCAUUAUACUCACAAAUAUCGGUAUGUAUUAAAUCCAAUAUUUGAGUAUUUCGUUCGGCUUUAGGAAAAGGUUUCUUAGUUAAUUUAGCUUGGAUGCAAAUUUCACACUUAUGACCUUUAACAUCAUUGCAAUUAAUCAAACCAUGCUUAGACAUGUAUUUCAAAGAUCUAAAAUUCAAAUGUGCUAAUCUAGCAUGCCAAACAUCACAAGACUCAACAAUAUAAGCUAAGUUGAUAUUAUUAUUAUUAAUGCUGAGUUUGUACAUUCCAUCACAAGAAUACCCUUUCUCAACAAAUAAUCCAUUCUUUGAGAUAAUACAAGUAUUACCCUCAAGCACAAUCUUAAGCCCAUGCUUACAUAUACAACUAGCAGAAAUAAGAUUCUUCCUAACGGAAGGUACAUGAAAGACAUUAUACAAUGUGACUUUCUUUCCAGAAGUGAAGUUGAUCUCAACUACUCCUUUCCCUGCUACUAUGGCUGCAUUAUUGUUCCCCAUGAGAACCAUUUGUCCUUCCUUUUCUUCUUUGUACGAUAAGAAAAAUUUCUUAUCAUUACAAACAUGAAUUGUUGCACCCGAAUCGAGCCACCAAUCAUAGGACUUAGUUUCAACCAUAUUGGUUUUGGUAAUCAUGCCAAUUUGCAUUUUAGAAACCAUAGCACAAAUCUCUUCAGAUUUGUUUUCAAUAAUAUUAGCUUUAUGAGAACUCACUUCUUCCUUUUUCUUCUUGAAUCUGCAAUCACUUUGGCGAUGGUCUUUCUUGCCACAAAAGAAACAAUUUCCAGUAAACUUUUGUGUGCUGGACUUCUUGAAUUUCUUGUCAUUCUUGACUUUAAAAUUCUUUGAGAAUUUGCUAGCUUCAACAAACAUUAACUUUAGUAGAAUCGUGCUUAUCCUUGGAUUCGCGAGACCUAGUCUUUUCUUCAAUUACCAAGUGUUUUUGCAAUUCUUCUAAAGUUAUGUUCUCUUUACUAUAAUCAUUCCAACUUUGAGGCAAUUUAGCAAUAAUAGCCCUAACUUGAAAUGAUUCAGAAAUUUCAACUUUUAACUCUCGAAGCUUAGCAACAAUAAUUUGUAACUCAUGUAUUUGAUCAAGAAUGGAUUUUGUGUCUACCAUAAUAAAUUCAAAAUAUUUAGAGACAAGGAAUUUGUCAGUACCUUCUUUCUCCGUUUUGUAUUUGUACUCAAGAACAUUCUAAAUUUCCAUUGGAGAAGUCAUAGAAUUGUAGAGAUCAUAUAACCUGUCAGAAAGCGUAUUGAGUAUGUGACCCUGGCACAUCAAUUCAUCAUCUUCACGACGUUUCCUUGCAGCCUUAACAACUUCGGUAUCAUCUUCUCUUGGUUCUGGAAAUGGUUCCAAUUUCGGAUCAAGAACAUAUGCCACUUUAAGAACAGUAAGGAGAAAGAACAAUUUUCCCUUCCAACGAGUGAAAUUAGUUCCAUCAAAACGAUCGAGAUAGACACUAGGAUUAAGAAAUGACGUCAAACUCUUCUCAGCCUCCAUUUGCAUUGAGAAUAAAACCUUAAAGAUUGUUGGUGAAUUUCCUAAUAUGGAGGCAAAGAACAAAGAAAAAUUUCUUAGGAUUUGAGACGUGUUUGCACACUUUCCUUUAAGGUUUUAUUUGCCCUCACCAAUCUUGAUUUGCUAUAGAGUUUUAAUGGCAAAUUACCCCCAAGAUAUAUCAAAUCCUGAAUACAAUCUCUAGCAAAUAAGAUUGUAUUUCCAGAACAUAUAUGAAAUCUGUAAAAUAUGAUAUUGAUCUAAUUGUGUGUCUCUCUUUAAUGAAGAAGAAGUUUAAUUUUAAAAGAAUACAACCAUUAGAAAUGGUACUUCUUCAAAGACACUCUUUUGGUUUGAAUUUGCAUCGAUUGACAUAUGAAAUUUUCAAGCUUGCUAACCGUUUUUCCAGUUGACGCAAAAACACGCUCUCUGGAUAUAAACGGUUAGCCGUUUUCUCAAUAACGGUGAGCCGUUUUAUUCCAGAAUGUCAAAUAAGUUGCUCUCUGUAAAUAAACGGUUAGCCGUUUUCUUCAAACGGUUAGCCGUUUUCUCUAGAACAGAAAACAUACUCUUUGGAAUGAAACGGUUAGCCGUUUUCUCCAGAAACGGCAAACUAUUUUCGUCCAGAAUAUCAAACCAAAGAUUGAAAAAUGUUACAAUCUCUCUUACAUGCACCGUCCUCUUCAUGGUUGCCCACUUAUUAUCUUUAGCUGUACAAUUAAUAUCCAUCCGUCGGAUUUCACUAGUAUAAUCUAACAUACCAUAUUUACUUAAUGUAAGUAACUUUAUUAUGUAAGAUAACAAGGCCCUUAUAUUUAAUAUAACUAUCACUUAUAUGUUAAUUUUUCAAAACAAAUGAAUACAUGAUAUAGUAUUAUUAGUUUAUUGUAUAGUUGUAGUGUUAUUUUGAUGUAUUCUAAAAUUUUUUUACUCCCUUAUAUAUAUAUGUGUGUGUGUGUGUGUGUGUGCGCGCGCUUGUAUAUGUUAGGUCCCAGUCAGAUGCAGACAAUGAUUACGAGUAAUGCUAGUGAUAUUUUUCUGCUUAUGGCGAGAAAUGACCAAAUAAUUGUAGUUUGAAUUCUCAAUGCCUUUAUUCAUAUUCUGGAGCUUAUUUAUAAUAAGAAGACUUUGGUUUUCAACCCACAAUCACAGCUGAAUAAAUGAAUAUUAAAAUAACAACUUAGCUAAUAUUUCGAAACCGAAAGAUAAUCGAAAACAACUUCCGUGUUUAAGCUUCCCUCCUUAAUCGUUGCACAAUCGUUGAUAAUGUUAUCCCUAGAUCGCGGCUCCAGCUCCAGCACGUAUCUUCACAAUAUCAGCACAUGCAUGUCUCAUGCAUGGCUUGUAUGGGAUUCAUGCCCUCACGUAGUAAACUUAGGAUUUGGCUUUGGCAUUCUUCCAGACCUUCGUGGCUCAUACAUUUGCUUUCUAUCGGCAUAUUAUAAGGAAAAUGCUUAAUGGCUAGAAUGACGAGAGAAGGGCGAGAGAAACAGCAGCUUGUGUUGUCGUUUCUCCCCCCACUAUCACACGUCAUUCUAGAUAAAAAAAUAAUAAUAAAAAAUUUAUGCCUCACGAAGAAAACAUAAAUAAAGCAAAAAGUUAUGGCAACAUGUGGGGAUAAUAAUAUCUGCUGCAGCCAAAACGUCGCCACUUUACUUAGAAACAAAAAACUACCCUUUUCUUCUAAGCUUCUUCACUCCUUCUGAGCUUCUUUACGCAAAUCUCCCACUUUACUUAGAAACAAAAAGCUACAUUUCUUCUGAGCUUCUCUUCCAGGAGUGGGUGAGAGUGGAUAAGCUAAUAUAGUUAAGCAUGUCCAUUAAUUGAAUCCUUAAGCUAAUUCAGGGGAAAAAUUAAAAAAAUAAAAGCAAUUAAUUGAAUUUUUGUCUGCUGAAAUGUACUACCAAGUUCUCUGUUUGAUUCAACAUAAAUGCAAGAAGUUCAACAGUAGUAAAUAUGUGGUGCCACAGCUACAAUGAAAUUUAGAGAAAAUUUUACUUCUUCUUAGACAUGUACAUCUAUUUAUAUAAACUUAAGGAAUCCCUUGUGCAGGAAUGGGGCUUUGAACUUCCAGAAGAGAUCAUUACCAACAAUGCAACAAUCAAAUGCACUGACUUUUUACCAUUAACGACUUCAGGUAAAGUUGAGGGAGAAAAAGUUCUUGGGAAAAUUGAAACUCCGUUUGAGAAGAUGAAAGUUGCUGCUUAUACACUUAGUGCUAUUUCACCCUGCAUGGGGCUCUUUGAAGUUAUCGCUAAAGAGAUCCAGGCUCUUCUAAAUCCUGAUGAUGGUAGUCACUUACACAAGAAAUGGAUUGACUAAUUGGGCGAUGACCGUGUCGUCGGCGGUGGUUGUGUCGUCAUCAGCAGUAUUACUAUUGAGAGAAGGAAGAAAAUGGUGAGGAUGGAGGGGAGUGGGUGAGAGUGGAUAAGCUGAUAGAGUUUUCGAUUUCUCAACAUUUCUCUAUUAUUUUUUAUUAAUUUUUUAUUAUUUAUUUAUUUUAUUUUAUUUUUUUGUCUGGAAGGGCGUGUGAUAGUGGCGAGAGAAACGGUGCCGUUUCUCUCGCCCUUCUCUCGCCCUUCGAGACACCUAGCACGACUCUUCAUUGAAUAAUCACCUCCACUUUAUUGCAGUAUUUUUUUAAUGACUAAAACUUUAAGUGUGACUCAUGCACGCGAAAAAUUGAAGUCAAAGUUCUACGGGAACUUCUAAAAAUGUUUUUUGAUACGGAAACAUUGACCAUUUGAAAAACAGCUUCAAUGAAAGGUACCUUAAUACCGUUAAUGAAGCACAUUCAAGGAUUAACAAACCACAUCGAUCAAUCAAUCCUUGUUUUCGCAGUUUUCGGAUUGAAAUUUCUUGAAAAGGCAAGUUUUGCUAAUGGAAUAUUGUGAGCGAGAUAUUUUUGAUACAGUUGCAUUGUAGGUAACUUAAGCCGUGUCAGCUCACCCAAUAAACGAUCCAUAAAAUUUCAUACAUUUUGAAAAGCUGCUGAUAUGUAAUUGAGAUGUUCGUCCAAAAUUUUAAGAUGCAUUUGCUCUGUCAUUCUAAUAGACAACUGCCAACUUUAUGAACAAAUUCGACACUCAUCAUCAGUUGCUUCAAUGUCACAUCCAUCUGAUCAUAAGAUUUUGUUAUUAUAAGAAAUGUGAAAAGUCAAAGACGAAAGGCUGACAUCAUGAAUCCUGCAGCAUGAUCAUGAAAAUUCAAAGAAAAAAUGUAGAGGAAUCUUGAGGGAAGAUUAUAAUUCCUACAGCAGAGUUAUGAAAAAUCAAAGAAGAAAUGCUAGUGUCAUGAAUCUUGCAGUAGGAAGAAAUGCUAGUGUCAUGAAUCAUGCAGUAGGAUCAUCAGUCCUGCAACAGAGUCCAUAAAGCCCAUAAAGCUUGCAGCAGAACCACUAAAUCUAUAACAGAGACCGUUAGUUCUGCAACAAAAUCAUAAGUCCAUGGACUAGAUGCAAGAUCAUGGACUAUGUAAAAGAUGGUGCGAAAAAGUUCAAAUCACCACAAGUCUGUGAGACCAUGAUUCAACCCCCAGCUCUAAACGUGGAAGGAUUUAGAAGCUUGAUUCAAAGAGAUAGGGAUAUAAAUAAGUUGUGCUAUCAUCCAUAGAAGAUAAUAUUAUGGAUUAUCUGAAUCUUAAGUAAUAAAGAUGUCAUAAAAGUGUUUGGAUUAGAAUUCUUUGUUAUCAGUAGAACGCUAUAUAUAUAUAUAUAUAUAUAUAUAUAUAACGCCUGUCUUAGUACACAAAAGCUGAGGUGUCUAUAACAACAAAAGUAGGGUUCAUUUUUUUAUAGUGAAAGCUUUAAAUUCCUACUCGUGGACAUAGGCCAAAUGUUGAAUGACAUUAAAUUCUAUGUUAUAUUUAGUAUAUUGCCCCCAUUAAUUUAUUUUACCAGUUGACAAGAUUUUUACGGCAACAUAUUUAAAUUUUCCAAGAGACAGCUUAAUGACACUUAAAUGAAGCAUAUUGGUGUGCCAAGUUUUCUGAUGACAAUCAAAUCAAGCUCAGGCUUUGUUAGCUCCACCUCUACAUGUUUUCUCUGACUUAAUUUCUUCCUCUUUGGUUUUUGUAUCAGAUGUAGAUGUCUUUUGAACCAUCCUUGAUUCAUUAAAGACCACAUCUUUGCUUAUGAUACACUUAAGUUUCUUCAAGUCUGUACAUCGAUGGUUGCAUACUUUGAUCCCAUAUGAAUAUCUCAGGAAUGCAUAUUCCAAAGCUCUUGAUUCUAGUUUUUUUUUUUUUUUUUUGCUUUGUAUAUGCAUAUUCAAAACAACCAAAUAUCUUCUAAUUGGAAUACUCUACUGGUUUCCAGACCAUAUUUGAAUUGGAGUCUUGAGUCAAUACAAGUUGAAGGACUUCAAUUCACCAAGUAAAAUGUUGUUGCAAAACUUCUAUGCAAAAUGAUUGUGGAAGCUUUCAAUGUGCAUAAAUAUCCCAUUAAUACAUCUGCAAACCAUUUUGUUGAGGUGUAUCUUGUGCCUAGCUAUCCUAUUUAUUGCAUGUAAAUCAUCAAACCUUUUGCUGCAAAAUCUAAUUCAUUAUUAAUUUUUUAUCUCUUGAUCUUUCUACCAAUUUGUGUUUCAAUGAGUGUUUUUUAAGUUUUGAACUUAUCAAACACUUUAUUUAUGUCUUCAACAUACUUACACCAUUCUAAAAUAAUCAUCUAUUAGAGUAAAAAAGUAUAGCUAGGCACAAGAUAUUACAGUACUAUUAAAAUGCUUUUGAGAAAUAUUAUAGUACGAGACUAGCGUCGGCACUUGUCUAACAAAUUAUUUACGAUUGAUUUGCCCCUGCUCCUUGAUAAUAGAUUUUUGGUAGCAUGCGUUCAUUAUUUUCCAACCUACUUUGAAAAAUUAUUUUCAGUAAUUGAUAAUAAAGUUUUAUCGAACAGUAUUUAUCACCAAUCAGUUGAAUGCCACUGUAAGUGCAUGUGUGCAUAUAUCUAUCAAAAUAAUGAGUGUUUGUUACUUGCAUUUUUUUCCCCUUUGGCAUGCUGCAUGCAUCAAAGGGUUGGAUUCGAAUACGGAUACAAACUAUUGUUUUAACCCUAGUCUUGGUAACUUAAUGAUUUACUUCAGAUGGUGUUAAAUAUUCCUGUGAAAUUGAAACUCAGAUGGGAGUAAGUCAAACUUGGUUGGUUAUAAGAUGAAUAAUGAUUACUAAGAUUAUUACUAUAACGAGCAGCUGAAUAUUUGUAUCAGCUGAACAUCUCAGAGUUAUGUUGUCAAGUUUUAUUUGUUCGAUACUUCCCAUUAUUGAAGUUGAAAUGCUUCUCACAUGUGUUUUCUGUGUAGGGUUGAAUAUAUUGUCCUUGAUGAAGCUGAUAAACUAUUCGAGGUGGGCAACUUGUUAAAGCAUUAUCGAUCCUGUGGUGAAAGCAUGCUUUAAUCCUUCGAGAGUACGCUCAUUGUUCAGUGCUACUUUACCUGAUUUUGUUGACGAGCUUGCAAGAUCAAUAAUGCAUGGUGCUGUUAGAGUUAUAGUUGGCAGGAAGUAAGUAUGAGGAUUUACUUUAUUAAAAUAGCAGGGUGUGUACAUGGUGUCCAUUACAUUUCUGCAAUUUUGAACAGGAAUACAGCUUCUGAAUCAAUCAAGCAGAAAUUGGUUUUUGCUGGAAGUGAAGGGAAACUUCUUGCACUACGUCAAAGCUUCGCAGAGGUAUGAUACAAUUAAGCAUGUGACAGAAAGCAUAUUUGUUGUGUUUCUAGAAUUAGCUUUUAGCUAACGUGGUGACCCUAUUUCAUCUGGAAUUAGGAGGAUUAGAUUUGUUAUUCUUGUUUAGGAUUUUUCAUGACUGAAUUUGUUUGCAUCGGUGUGUGCUAACUAUGGGUUUCCUUUACUUCUAAUAUUGGUCUAAGGAACUUCCAAUUUGUAAGAUUUCAUUUAUAAAAUCUUACACCAUACUGGCAUUGGCGCUCUUUCAAGUUAAAUGACAUAACAACAGAUCUAAAUCGUUUGUCUGGCAUGAUUCUAACUGCUUUGAUAGGGUUAUCUAUUUCAUAACUCUCUGUGUGCGCUAAUUAUGAGUCACUACAUGUCGGAUGGCUACGAUUAUGUCUGGUUAUUUGUUGCAUGGAAUAAAACUCCUACAGAAAUGUUCCAAAUAUAAUUCAACAUGCUUACUCUUUUUAGCAAUUUUUUGUUGGAAAGUUGUUGAGUGAUAUUGCAACCUAUCUCUCUGGUUUGGUUGUCUCACAGUUUUUAACUGCAGUACUUUUUUCCAUAUUUUUAGAAAAUAUUCGCUGCAAAUUUGUUGAGUAAAAUUUCAACCUAUCUCUCUAGCUUCAUUGUCUCAGUAUCUUCAACUGCUGUAAAAUUGUUCCUGCUCUAAUACCGUACUUGGCAGUAGAGCUUAAAUCCACCAGUACUCAUUUUUGUGCAAAGCAAAGAGCGAGCAAAGGAGCUUUAUGGGGAGCUAGCAUUUGACGACAUUAGGGCUGGUGUUAUUCACUCUGAUCUCUCCCAAACUCAGGUAUUUUUAUUUUGGUUGUCAAAAGAACUAAAUCACAUUAUCUUUUGCAUGAAUUUUCUAGUUGAGAAAAUCUUAUGUAAAUCAAGGAAAUGCUGGUGGUCAUAUUAGAAUGUGUUUACUUGAUUGUAUGACCUAUGAGAAAAAAUCUGGACAUGAAAUCUGAGCCUGUAAAAUUUACAUUGAAAAACUGCAGCACCUGGAAUUUUUAUUUUUAUUUUUUUUAUGUUUUCUCAUUUUUGCCUAAACCUGAUUGGUUUUACAAUAUCAUUGUCUGUAAUAGAAAUGCCCAAGUUUAGAUGGUUCGCACUGACUAAUAUGGACAAACUUCUGAAUGGUGAUAUUGUAAUUCCAUAUACGCUAUUACCGUGAUAUUUUCAUAUCCCACAUCACUUGCAUAUCAUAUGACUUUCCUGUUACUUAUGCUGAUUUAUUGUUGAUAAAUACAGUGAUAAAUAAAUCUUAGCACAUUGAUCGAGGGCAACAAAGAUCACUAGAAGACAGCUAGUCAAAUAAACAUGCAUAAACACAUGAAGAUGCUUUUACCUUAGUAGCUGAAGGCCGUGGCAAACUUGUGACAAGCAAGGUGCAGCAGCAAUAAUUGAACAGAAGAUCUAAGCCAUUACACGAAGAGGAUGGAUGAUUCAUAGUUGGAUUUAUGGGACCUUGGAAGAUUUCCUCAAGUGUGGUCUUCAAGAGUGCAUGCCUGUAAUGAGAUGCUGCCUCUCAGUCUACAUUCUUGACUGCUGAGCGCUUGCCUGAUAAUAUAACCAGAAAACGGCUACCAUGCUGUGCCAGCAUCCUCAUGAACUUUGUAACACACGUCAAUGAGUCGUAACUAAGUUAAUGUCUUAAAACAUGAAGCCAUGGGCUGCUACGAAUUUGUUAUCAGCAUAUGUUUCACUGUCCCUAGUUGUGGAAAGUUAUUGCAAAUUACUGUUGUGCCUUACGGGUCAAGGUCAACUGCUGCCAGCACGGCAUUGUAGUCGAGCACAAAUACCAAUUGCAAUUGAGAAUCAUCUAUAAACCUGUCAUGUUUAGAGCUCUAUCUCCCUAAUCCAAAUUCCAUGUUCGAGUCUUAGAGAAAGCACAAAAUCCCCCGGAAUGAAUAAAAUGAUUCUUAAACUCAUCAAGACAAUAAGAAACUUAAGCCACGAGGCUUUGAUAAAGUACCAGGAAGAGCGGGCCUAGUAAUCUUGUCAAUCACACAAGAAUAUUCCCCUGCCAAAAAAGCUAAACAAAAGGGGAAAAAAAAACAAUCAAUCAGCAAUUAAUAUUUCAGACCACAAAUUGAUUACUAAAAUAAAAUAGCAAAUUGCUAGAGCUCAGGAAAUUGUUAUUCAAACUAUCAUGAGAGAACAUGCCCAUUAGUAUUGGAAAAUCCUUCAUUGUAGUCACUUUUCAAUAAUUAUGUCACUAACAAAUCUUUAGUUUAAAUGCAAUAAAAAAGAUUUUAAAAAAGUUUAAAGGCAUGAUGAAGCACCCAAACAUACCCUUAAGUUCUUCUGAAUGAGAAUCCAGAGACACUAGUUUAAUAUGGAACCUCGUGGUUGGCCAGCCACAUUCUAUUUUGUUGAAUAGUGAGGAGGAAGCUUGUUCGACCACUGUAAUUGUUCAGUUGAAGCCAACAUGUGGAUUGAAACAUAACCCUCAUCCAGCAUCUGCAACCAGAGCUCUUCCAGGAUUGUAUAUAUUUUGUCCCUUUCUGGAUGCAUAACAUCUUCUGCAAAGAACACAUUGAUCUUACUCUGAAUUUCAAUCCAGCUCUGACCAGGAACUUUCCUCACACCCCUUUCUUUCAUUGAGCCCCUUAAUCUAGCGUGUAACACCCCAAAUCUAACACGUGCGGAGCACGUGAAGAAGGAGGUUACUCACAAAUCAUAAUCUUUACUCAUAAGUUUCGAACUGAAAUACCUCCAAUUCUUAUUAAAAUAAAUCCACAAAUUCAAACGUCUAAUACUAAAUAAUCUCUCCCGAUGACAUAGAAAUAAUAACAAAAGUCUCAAACUCCAAAUUACACGUUCAUAAUAGAAAUAACUAAAUAGAAACAUGAGUCUAUUCCUCCUCUUAUUCAAAUGGCAAACGGAAACGGAAAAUUACUAACUCCAAAGCUAAGCGCACCUCUCAAAAGAAACUUAAUCUGCAAAAAGUAAUGAUGAGGGGUGAGCCGUUAACUCGGUAAGUAAAACCAUUCCUAACACACUAGGUCUAUCGAUACCAAAAAUAUUGCAAGUCUUCUUUUAAUUAAAACAUAUAUCAUAAUCCAUAAUUUCAUAAAACGAUAUAUCACGAUAACUUAACAUAAAUUCUUAAUAAUUCAGAAUAUCCAAAAGCAUAUUUACUUACGAAGCAAAUCAUAUAAUAUGUAUACAGAAAACAAAAGGUUAGCUCAUGUCACAUAGUGUCACCUAUAGUCCUGGUGACCCGGCCAGAAACAGAAUAAGAAUAUCGUGUGCACACUCAGAACAAAAACCCAGUACUGGUCCAGACAGAUAUAUCGUAUAUUACGAUCAGAAUCAGAAUCAGAAUAACUACGGACAAUGAGCCAAAACAUAAUGACUUAUACGUGGCACUUUGCACUAUAUGUGACACUUUGAGACGCUUUGGCCUUCAAGAGGUGGCCCCCAUAUUGCCCCAAGAGGUGGCCCCCAUACAAUCAUAAAUAAUUAAAAUCAUACAUAAGCACAAAACAUUCGUAUCAGUUUCAUAAAUGUCCAUAACAAUAAUUUAGGCUUGCAAAUUGUUUUAUAGAUAAAAUCAUAAAAGGUAAUGUAACAAAAUAACUUACAUACUUAAAAGGAUUUUAUAAAAUUCUUUGUUAAAAGGAAUUUAGGUUUGAAAACAUUUUCAUAAAAUGAUUUUGUUAUGAAAAUCCAUUAAUCUUCUAAGUAGUAUAAAAAUAUUUUUAUUUAUAAUAAUAAUAUCAAAAUACUUAUACAUAUCCAGUAUACUAGGAAUGAAGUUACUUAUCUCAACAAAUGAAUUAGAAUUAACACACCUCUAAGCUUCUAAGAGCCUCAAUCACCUUCAAUACCUUAAACAAAUACAAGAUAUGACAAUUAAUAACUUAUUCUAAGAAUCUGAUUUUCUAAUUCAUACCCGUACAGGUCUGAUUCUCAGAAUUUUAACUCUUAAUAUAAAACUCAGAAUGAUAUAAUAUUCUAUGGAACUAUUCUGGACAUCCAUGAGUACCCCAUGUAAACUUGCAAGAGGAUCCUAUAUCAAAGACAUUUUCAAAACUAUUUAUUUCUCAACAAAUUCGAAACUGUUUUCACAUAACCUAAACCAAACAGAACGGGUUCUGUGAUUUUUAUAAAAUCAAAUACUAAUCAGAAAAUUAUGAAAUUAAAACUGGGAAUCCUAGACACAUAUAUUAACCUAAAUAUAAACUUUCAUAAUUUUCCGAGUUCAUUUGGAGGUACAAAUAAUCUUGUGAAUCCGAUCGCAAUGCUGGAAUCGCAGUUUUCCAGUGCAGUGGUUUCUAUUUCGAAAAUGCAUAUAAAAUAGAAAACGAAGUCGAAUUUAAUGAAAUAAAAGUUACUUAAGAAGCCCUACAUGUCUAGUUUCCAGAAAUAUAAAUUUCAUAAGAAAACUCAUUCAGAAAAUAUAGGUUUAAAUUCGAGAUACUCAUGUUGUCCAGAAAUAUCCUGUGCUUCAUACGUCAAGGAUUGAUUAACUAAACUCAUAAUAAAUCAAAACUCUAAACAAAGCCUAAAUACAAUAUAAACCCUAGAUAGAGUGAUUAGAAAUCUAUUGAAAAUAGGGAGAAUAACUUACCCGUCGCUUUGAUUCUCUCCUAAACAAAUGUUUGAAUCCUAAGAUUUGGGUAGGAGUGUAAAGAGCAGCAGAGAAAGAGAAUAAACGUCAUGGACUUAGGGUUAUGGAAGGGAAAAAGUAUAAAUUUAUAGGGAGUCUUAAGAAACCCUAUUUAAUUAGGAAAAAUAAUCAUUUUCCAAAAUUAUCUCAUAAAUAACCUCUAUUUAUAAUUAGUAUCCCUUUCUUAAUAAGGGUUAUAGGCCACCCAUAAUUCUCAAUGAAAGCUCAAUUUCCAUAAUUUAAUAUUAUGGAAAUUUGUGGCGUUACAUAGCGACUUCCUCCCACUUUCCGGAAGAAGCAUAUAUGUUGCAAAGCAAUACAAGAGUGGCAGAAUUUGUAGGAUCGAUUUUCAAAAUAUUCUCCGCAGCUCGUUUUCCAACAUCAACAUUCCCAUGGGUUUUACAGUAAGCUAACAGAGACUUCCAUUCCGCGAUAUCAGCGUCAAAAGCCAUUUGGUUGAUAUAAUCAUCAGCUUCAUGCAUCCAUCCAGCACGAGCAACCCCAGCGAUAAUUGCAUUCCAUGAUGCUAAAUCAGGGCUUUCUAUGUCAUUAAAUACGAUUCUUGCAGAAUCUAACAAACCACAUUGGGCAUACAUGUCACAAAGGGAACAUCCGGCAAAAAUAUCUCCACCCAACCCAAAUUUUAUGCAUAUACCAUGUAUCUGCCUCCCACAUUCAUGUUGUAGGAGACUGCUACAAGCACUAAAAACACUGCCAAAUAUAAAUUCAUUUGGCUGGUAACCACCAUGAUGGAGCAUUUCAUUAAAAUGGCUCAAAGCUUCUAACUCAUAACCAAGUUUGGAAAACCCAGCAAUCAUUGAACCCCAUGAAGUUAUAUCCUUUCUAGUGAUACUGGAAAACACAUUCCAUGCAUCCAAAAUUCGAUCAAACUUUGUGUACAUUGCGAUUAGAGCAUUCUGUGAAAUCAGAUGAGAACCGUGUUCUGAUUUUAUGACAUGGGCAUGAAGUUGUCUUCCUAAGCCAACACAGCAUAGACCAGACCAAGCUCUUAUUAUGCUUCCAAAGGUAAACUGAUCCGGCAUAACUCCUGACUGUAGCAUUUGUAUGUACAGUUCAAUCGCAUCAUUUUCUUGGCCAUUCUGAGAGCGUCCAGCAAUCAUAGCAGUCCAAGAGACCACAUUCCUUAGCGGCAUUUCAUCAAAAACCAUUCUAGCAUCCUCCAAUGAACCACAUUUUCCGUACAUAUUAGGAAUAUGGUUAUGUAGAACAACAUCUGGCUGACACUUGGACGAUAAAAUAUGAUCAUGGACUUUUCUUCCAAGUUGUAGAGAUCUCAGAGAAGAGCAUGCAGAGAUUAAAUCAGCAUAAGUGCUAGGUCUUAUCCUGAAGUUUGUAUUGUUUUGCAAGAAGUCAAAUGCUACAAGAGCUUCAGUGUACAGGUUUUGCUUGCAGAGAGAGCUAAUGCAAUCAUUGCUGAACUGUUCAGUCCUACAGUAAGUUUGAGCAUUUGAUUGGACAAAAGGCUGACUGUGGUAGAAGGCGAACGGCAGUUGGGUUUUUAAGUUUCUAAUUAUGGUCACGGCAUUUCAGAAAGAAAAUAGUCUAGAACUAAAGGAUAAGAAAUGUUGAGAUUCUAUUUGUAUAUGGAUUUAAAAGUAAUAGUAGGAAGCAACAAAUGUAAGUGGUCACAACAUUUCAGAAAGAAAAUAGUCUAGAACUAAAGGAUAAGAAAUGUUGAGAUUCUAUUUGUAUCUGCAUUUUAAAAGUACUAGUAGGAAGCAACAAAUGUAAGUGGUAACCAACUGGCCUUGGUCCAGUGGCCAGGACCCUACACUCGCAACUGUGAGCGCAGCGGUUCGAGCCCCCGCGACGCAUGUAGGGAUUUAUUUCUUUCCUUAAUUAUUAAGUGAAGGCAGUCUUCUCCCUUUCGAAAUGUGAGUGGAGUAGACACCCCUCGAAUAUUAGAGAGGGUAAAAUCUGGACAGUGCUAUAUAAGAAUUAAUGUAAAUUAGGCCCAGUAAUUGUUUGAUUGUAAAUAUAAGUUGUAAAUCUCAUAUAAUAUGAGUUGUAAUCUGAGCAUUAGUCUCAUGUAAUUCAAAAAAAAAAAAAAAAAACAAAUGUAAGUGGUAAAUUGCAUGAACGGAGGAAAAAUCCGACUCCUAUGUUACUCCAUGAACCUGAAUAAAUCCAAGUUCCCAAAUAUCAUCGAAGCUUCUCAAAAAAGAAUCCACCACCUCCCCUGCUUGAUCCAGCAACAUAUACAUAGUUCGAAUGCAUUCCAAUACCCACAACACCACCAAUGCAAAUGACAGAGGCCAAAAGGUGAAAAACAUAAUCAAAAUAUGGCAGUGACCAGCAGGUGAAGUGAAGAGAGAACACCAAGAUUGAAAACAUAAAUAAGUGCCCGAUAGUAACUAUACAAACUCAUUUCCAUUAGGAAAAUAAAAUGAAAACCUCUUAAAGAUUAUUGGACCCCAGCAUGCUAAAACAACUUCCUUUACAGUUAAAUACUUCUGAAAGACAAUAGACAAUUUAUGAAUUAUGAUACAAUAAGUUCAAAUCAAACAACAAUAAUAGAGAUAAGAACUCUCGUACAAAUUUUUUUAUAUACAAACUGAUGUGUCAUCAAAUCAUUGCUUGGAUGAUGUACAUGGGCGUACUUCCAAAUGGAAUCAAGCUUGUAGUAAAUGGGUUUUUCAAGCAAUCAAAAUGGGCCCCUCACAAAAAUUUUGACAGGAACAAAAUUUGAAAGCUUGUAAGAGGCAAUUCUUCAAACAAGAAGACUGCAGAAUGAUUUAAAAUUUAUAAUACAUUAAAACAACGAAUACAAAUGUUUUGCAACGACAACGAAGUACCAAUUAAACACAAACGUUUGCCAUAAAAGCAUGGAAGCAAUGAAACUAGACAUGGAAUAGGGAAGCAGAACUGAACUGUAAAGCCAUCAUAGCGAAAAAUUGAAACUGCAGACAAAUAAAUUAAAUUACCUUAAGAUUGUUGGAUUCUAGUAAAUGUAUUUAAGCAACGUCAUCCUUAAAAUCUGAAUUAAAAAAAAAAAAAAGGUGCAAACAAAGUAGACCGAAAGUAAUGCACGCAGGUCUUUGAGCAGCAAAAUGGCGCGCUUCAAGAGUUACGCGGUAGUAAGGGUAAAAUUGGUAGUUCAAUUAUAGAAACGACGUCGUGCUUUCGACAUUAAGCAGACCUAUUUUGUUUUAAUUUCGAAUUUAGUUCAUUUUCUUAAGUAUCAUACAUUCUGUCCCCUAGUUUAAACUUUAAAGAUUGUUUAUUUUCUUUUUUAGUGAGGUUAUACAACCAUCCAUUGAAUAUAUAAUGUGUAGUUAAAUUUGAUAUAACUAAUAUUUAUAAAGAGAAUUUUGAAAAGAAAUAUAUAUAUAUAUGUCAUAAUAUUAUUUAUUUAAUGUAUAACUAAUUCAAUAAUAUCUCUCAAACUAUAUUCCCAAUGAAUUUUGAUGUUAUGUAAUUAGUAAUUAUUAAUUUUAUAAAAAAAAAAUCUAACCUUAUUUUUAUCAUAAUUAAAUAUGAGAACAUGGCAUGUUACGUGAACUUUCAUUCCAUAGAUAUUAAAACAGUGAGGACCUUAUCCAUGUAAAAUUCUAGAUUGAAACACUUGCUAGCAUGAGUAUGUGUGUAAUUGAUUAAAAUUAAUUCUCUCACGAUCUAAUAUUAUAUUAAGUAAAAUCUAAAAUAGUGAUUAUUUAGGUCUAAAGAGACCAGCAGAACAAAAGGAUGCUCACCUUCAAAUUUUGAAAUCCUUUCAUGGGGUAUUGUCAUAUUCAUGAAGCGAAAACAUUUCUUGGUUUCUGAGCUCUGAAAUGGAAAUUUCUUUGAGAGCUUUUUGCAUUGGUGUCUUUCCCGCAAGAAGUUCCAGAGAAAUGCGUUGCAUUGGGGGUCGAGAUUUCGGUUGAGAACGCAAGCAAGAAAAUGCUAUUGUUGAAACAAGAAUAAUAUCUUGAACAAUCUUUUGAUUCACUGGAGGCGAGAGACGUUGGUCUAAAACAUCGAUCAACAUGAUUUUUGGACCCGAAGAUGAUGAUAACGACGAGAGGAGUUCUCCUGGAUGUGUUCCCAUCAAUAUUUCGAGUGCCACUACCCCAAAACUAUAAACAUCACAUUUCUCUGUCACAACCAUAGUGUAGGCAAGUUCUACAUGAAAAGAAAAGGGUGUAAGAUUAUGUCUUUAAAAAGAAAACCAUAGAGCGUAAUAAGAAAUACAACCAAUUAUUUAAUUCACCUGGGGCAAUAUAUCCGUAAGUGCCCGUUCGUAGGGUUCUAUUGGAUGAAUCAACAUGUAGAAGUCUAGCAGUGCCAAAAUCAGCAACAAAUGCCUCCAAAUUUGAGUUAAGUAGAAUGUUGUUGCUUGAUAUGUCGCGGUGAACAAUUGAUGGAGUGCAGUCGUGAUGCAGGUACGACAAAGCGUGAGCCACACUCUUCACGAUGUUCAAUCUUUUAGUCCAAUUCAACUCUAUGGCUUCGUCAUCAUCGCGUAAAACACAGAACAAGCUUCCUCUUUCCAUGUACUCAUAAAUCAAAAACAUGCAUCUUUUGUGCAAACAAAAACCAUAAAGUUUCACAAUGUUCCGAUGUCGAACUGUGGAGAGUACACGAGCCUCGUUUUGGAAACUCUUGACAAAAGCUGAAUCCUCUGUUUCAGAAUGGUGAAGCUUCUUCAAAGCAACAACUUUCCCGUCUGGUAGCUCGGCCUUGUAUACACUACCGUAACCUCCAGUUCCGAUGCAAUAUCCGAUAUGAAAAUCUUCCGUUGCAUUAAUCAAAUCUUCAUAUAAAAUUUUACCAUCAUAAUCCCACACUGAAAACACAUCUCCGUUCUUUGCACCUCUUGCCACAAGUUUUGGAUUUUCACUCUUACUCUUAAGGCGUAAAAUGAAUCCAAAUAUUGUGAAGGCAAGAACUAUAGUGAGGGGAAGAAAAUUUUUAACAGACAUAAUGAAUGAAGGUGCAAGUAUAUGUCGUUGAGAGCAAGAAGGAAAACCUUUAACAUGGCCGCAUAAACCCUUGUUGCCUUCAAAACUCUUUGGUGGAUUAUCCCGCAAAUAAGUGGGAAUUUCACCUUCCAAAUUGUUGAAAGACAGGUCUAAAUACAUUGGACGGAGAGUCUUAGGUAUGGUGCCUGAAAGGUUAUUGUGAGAAAGGUCAAACUUUUCUAGGAAUAAAAUUUUUCCCAUCUCUAGUGGAAUAGUUCCAUCCAAACUGUUUUGGUUCAAUGUUAAGUUCUUUAACUUCGAGCAGUUGUCAAUCCCAGUCGGAAUCGAACCACUAAGUUUAUUUUUAGAGAGGUCUAGAGACACGAGGUUAAAGAGUUUUCCAAUUGCAAAAGGUAUUUGGCCUGAAAGUAGGUUUGAGGAAAGAUUGAGAUAUUGAAGGUUGGAUAACUUGGUGAGCUCGUCUGGAAUGAUACCACGUAUUUUGUUAUCAGAUAAGUCUAAUUCCUCUAGAGCACUAAAAUUCCCUAUUUCUAGUGGAAGGGAGUUGUGGAGUAGGUUAGAACUGAGAUUCAAAUACAGCAGGCUGGUUAAACGACCGAGAGUUGAAGGAAUAGCUCCGGUUAGCUUGUUAGCCAUGAUAGCCAAAUUAGUCAAAUUCUUUAGAUUUCCUAUUUCUCGUGGAAUUGAUCCAUUGAACCGGUUGAAACCAAGACCUAAAUACUUAAUGUUUGUUAAACGAAACAGGGUUGAAGGAAUAGGUCCACCUAAUGUGUUACUCGUUACAGACAACCAGAUUAGACUUUUUAGGUUCCCGAUUUCUUGGGGUAAUGCACCACUGAGUUUGUUAUUUCUCAAAUAAAGGACCUCUAGAUUUCUUAAGCUCCAAAUUUCUGUAGGGAUAGUACCUGCAGUGAGAUUGAUUAAAGAAAAAAUGAAUGUCAGUGAUUGUUUUUUAAUGAAUAUAAAUUAAAUACAUAUCUAGGGUAGGUAGCUACCAAAAUUAAUUGGCAACUCACCAUUGAGGUUGUUACUACUGAUAUAAAGCACCUCCAGAUUUCUUAGGCUCCCAAUUUCUUUUGGUAUAAUACCUGCAGUGAUAUUAAUUAAAGGAAGAAUGAAUGUCAUCGAUUGUUUUUUAUUGAAUAUAAAUUAAAUACAUAGCUAGGGUAGCUAGCUACCAAAAUUAAUUGGUAACUCACCAUUGAGGUUGUUAUUACUCAAAUAAAGCACCUCCAGAUUUCUUAAGCUCCCAAUUUCUUUUGGGAUAGUACCUGCAAUGUGAUUGAUUAAAGGAUGAAUGAAUGUGAAUGAUUAUUUUUCAACGAAUAUAAAUUAAAUAUACAGCUAGGCUAGCUAGCUACCAUAAUUAUUUGGUAACUCACUCGCCUGUAAGAUUAUUCCAACGCAGAUUAAGGUACUUGAGAUUUGAAAGAGAACCAAUUUGGGGUGGAAUGCUUCCCGAUAGAUUAUUGUUUCCAAGAUUGAGAUAUUGCAGGUUUGGAAAGCAAGAAAAGUUGAGACGGCCAAGUUCCCCUUUGAUCUUGCUAUCUUCUAAGUCUAUGUGGGUGAUACUUCCUUCAUAAUUGCAAGUGAUACCAACCCAAUUGCAAUGAUCUGAAGUAUUGUGGGGAAUCCUGUCCUUCCACCAGCCGCUGUUGAGUAAAGCUUGUCUUUCUAUUUCAGAUGCUGCAACAUGAAUACUAAUAUUGGUAGCAGAUGCAACAUGGACUAUCAAAAGAGUAAGGGCAGCCCAUAUGAAUACGAUGACUGCUCUGCAAGUAUUGGAGAAAGCACACGCCAUGUUUAAGAUAGUUUCAACAAAGCUAGGUUCAAGCUAAAAUGACUUUUGCAAUUUGUUCAUGAACAAACCUGCGGGUGACUAAACUCUACCCACUUAAAUAAUUUUGAGAUGAUGGACUGUAUAUAGUCAUCAAGUAUUUUUAUUUCAUAUAUAAAUAAUUCAUGUUUCAUAAACGUGGUUUCAAUAACAUUACAGUAAAAGAAAAGAAGAAAGUAAAACAUGCGACAACGUUUUAAGUUUGAAAUGAAUAAAUCAAUCGUCACGUGUCUUUAGACCGAGUCCAAAUGAUAUUAUUACAUUUUUGUUUUUUGGUCACAUGCACGUUUUUCCUUCAUUUGAGAAGUGUGGAGACUGCUAUAAAACAAUUGUCUUUUUAUUUAAACCGCUUGCAAAUUGAAUAGUGAAUCACUUUUCCUAUUAUGCAGAAAGUGGUUCGACUUUUUGAGAAGGCAGGCACCAUCUUUAAGAUUAUUUCAGUCAAGGUUGAAGGCAAAUGACUCUGCUCUGGCCAAUAAAAUUUUUUUUUUUUUUUUUGGUAAAAGGUAUGGGUACUAGUUAACCAAAAUCGAUUUUUUAGCCUUUAUUAUUUUUUUUUUUUGAGGAUUCGAAUUUCGGUGGCCAACGUUCAAUUGAUGAUCAUACAAUAAGAAUAAUUGAAUUUAAGAAGCUUUUUAACGCACUUUUGCCGCACGUCUUAUCAUGUUCAUAAUUUCAUGUGUGUAAUUUUUAUUUGUUUAAUUUUUUUUUUUUAAAUCCAGCUCACUGCAGUUAAUUGGAUGUACUCAUCUCUGCUAUUUGUUAAUAUACAGAUUGGUAAUAAAAGCUAGGAAGCCUUCUUUACAAUUUAAAUGUUAAUGUAUGAAUUAAACUGAUUAUCGUACAGACUUCAGAGUGAAUAAAUUGUACCGACCAGGCAUGGACGGCGAUGAAGAAAAGGAAUUUGUUUCUGGAGAUCUAAUCAGCAGAAGGAGUUAUGGCUUGACUAGAUUGGCGAAUUAGACUCGUUUUAGAAAUUAUUCGGGUUGUGCAAUUUUUGACCGUUUGACGCUCCGGCUUUUCUCCCUCCCCUGAUACGACAAAUUUUGCCAAAAAAAAUCAAAGCAGUAGGUUGUUAAUUUUGAAAAUGCACCAUUGAUGGGAAGUGGAGGAUGGAGAGUAAAAAUCGAAUUAAAUUUGCUAGAUACUCGUGUUUCAUGUGACUUCAUGUACCCAACCAUUUUUUUUUAGCUUUCGGAAACGUGGUCUUGAAAAAGUUGUAGAAGAAAGUAAAUUAAAGCAUCAGACCUAGUUUUGAUUUUGAAAUGAAUAAAUCAAUCUUCAUACCUUUAGACUCUUUACAUUCGUAAAGCAAAGUUUUCUUCUCAUUUUUUGGGGCGGGGCCUUCAGGAUUUUAGAGGUGUAGAUCAUGGAUUGAGACAAUAACACACUGGCUUUAGCCACGCAAAUUAAUGUACUUAAAAUUAUAGCACUCGGCUACCUAGGGAGCUUUUGAUAUUGUUUAUCAAUGAUGUUUUGUGACCUUAUUUUAGACAAGAAAAAUCAUGUUUGUGAUGUAAUAUUUUUAAAAUUUUAAAUGCAUGUCUUAGUUUUUUAAUCAAAAUUAUAUAUAAAAAUGAAAAGAGCGAAAACACGUUUGGUUACUUUUUUUCACCGAUCAAGUCACACUUGGUUUUUCUAAUUUACUAUUCAAGUUUGAAAAUUACUCCACUACUUACAUUUCAUUGAAUAAUCAGCUUCACUUCAGUGCAGUACUUUUUCAAUGACUAAAACUUUAACUGUAACUCAUGCACGUGAAAAAUGAAGUCAAAGUUCUACAGGUACUUCUAAAAAUGUUUUUUGAUACGGAAACAUUGACCAUUUGAAGAACAGCUUCAAUGAAAGGUACUUUAAUACCGUUAAUGAAACACAUUCAAGGAUUAACAAACCACAUCGAUCAAUCAACCAAAUUCAUUCCUUGUUUACGAAGUUUUUGGAUUGAAAUUUCUUGAAAAAGCAAGUUUUGCUAAUGGAAUAUUGUGAGCGAGAUAUUCUUGAUACACAUGUUGCAUUAUAUGAAUUAUUAUCUUACUUUUUUUGCUUCCUUUUCCUAAGUAUUUUGAUGCUCUAGAUUAAACAUUGAACAAUCUGUUUUGCGCCUCUGCCAAAUACGUUCUCAGCGCUGUAUCAAUUCCUUAUACAUAGCUGUUCAUCUGAUCAUGCUUGUUCUGUACGUACAUAAAGCAAAAUGGUAAUUUCCAUUAUUUUAAGAAUUUUUUAACUCGCUUUUGUUGGUCAAUUGAAGCCAAGUUUUGUCGAUAUAGGUCGCACUGGCAGGGCAGUUAGGAGUGGAGAAGCUAUAACGCUUUACACAGAAGACGAUAUUCCAUUUUUGCGUAACAUAGCUAAUUUAAUGAAAAACUGAAGGGUAAGAAGCAUCGGCCACGAAGAGAAUCAAUUUCAACCAAACCAAAAGAUGAUGAAGAGUAAAGCUGCAAGUCACUGUCAUUUUUCUUAAAGAGUGUAGUAGAAAAUCAAUAAUGUUGAGAAACAGAGAAAACAGAAUUUGUUUAUUAUCACAAAAUCACUUACUAAAUGAAUCUGUACAUUAUUCUCUUUAUAUACAUCAGUAGUGAUUUUAACUAACUAACUUUUAUAACUAAUCAUAAAAGCUAAUUAGCUAAUUAUCUAACUAACUAUUUAGCACAAGAAAGACUAUAACAGAUUCUAAUAAUCUUCACGUGUGCAAGAUAUUACAAAGCCACUAGGCUCCAGCUGGCAAGCCAUGUCAUCCACUUGUAUCUGUGAACAGCUGGUGUUACAAUCCUCUGCUUCACUGACCAUUCUAUGCAUAUGAGCUUCCUUAACAUCCCCUCUCAAGCUCAAUGGUCUACUAAACACAUUGAGCUUGGAUCUAAAGUAACUAAACUUAGGGAAUGACAGGGGCUUAGUGAGGACAUCUGCAACUUGCUCUUCAGUAGGAAUAUACCUCACUUCCAAUUCCUUGUUAAGAACUUUGUCUCUAAUAUAGUGAACAUCUAGCUCUAUGUGUUUUGAUCUUGAAUGAAAAACUGGAUUUCUGGCUAGAUCUCCAGCACUUUGGUUAUCACACCAUAGAACAGGAGUUGGUAAUUUUGUAAUGUUAAGCUCAGAAAAUAAAGAUUGUAGCCAAGAGAUUUCUGAGCUAGCUGCUGACAAAGCUCUGUAUUCACUCUCAGUACUAGAUUUAGCUACAAUGGCUUGCUUUUUGGAAGACCAGGAAACCAAGUUAUUGCCAAGAAAAAUGCAAUAAGCUCCAAUAGAUUUUCUGUCAUCAAUGUCACAAGCCCAAUCAGCAUAUGAAUAUCAUGUCAAUCCUAUAGUCUCCAAGGUUCCCUCCUUCUGAAUGUAGAGACCAUAAGUGACAGUUGCUUGAAGAUAUCUGAGCACCUUUUUGCAAGCUAACCAAUGUUGAAGUGUAGGAGCACUUAGGUACUGACUAAGCUUAUGGACCGAAUAUGCAAUGUCUGGUCUGGUUAGAAUUAAGUAUUGCAACCCUCCAACAAUGCUUCUAUAUAGAGUUGCAUUUUCAAAUUCUGCACCCAAAGAACCAUUUGCUGAUCUUUCCAACUUGUAGCCUGUGCUGAAAGGAGUGUCAGUUUCUUUACAGUUUUGCAUUAAGGCUUUAGACAUCAAAUCCUUGAUGUACUUAGUUUGAGAGAGAUGCAUCCCAUUAUCCGUAUAGCAGACUUCUAUACCAAGGAAAUAUGUCACUAGACCCAAGUCUUUUAGUGCAAAGACCUUGCUGAGCUUAGCAAUGAAGGAUUCCAGCAGAUCUGAAUCUGGUCCAGUGAUCAAAAUGUCAUCCACAUAUAUUAAGAUAAGAAUUAUACCCUUGACAUCAUGCCUGAUAAACAGAGAAGUAUCAGCCUUAGAACUAGUGAAAUUCCAACUUGUAAGACAUCCCUUAAGCUUAUCAUACCAGGCUCUUGGAGCUUGUUUUAAGCCAUAAAGGGCUUUGUUUAGUUUACAGACAUAUCCUCCCUCUGAAACAAAGCCUUCUGGUUGUUGCAUGAACACAUCCUCAGUGAGAUCCCCAUUAAGGAAUGCGUUAUUGACAUCAAUUUGCCUAACCUUCCAGCCUUGCAUGACUGCCAAGCUAAGAAUAACUCGGACUGUGGAAGACUUUACUACAGGGCUGAAAGUUUCUGAAUAAUCGACUCCAGCUGUCUGAUGAAACCCCUUUGCAACCAAACGAGCUUUGUACUUAGAAACUGAACCAUCAGUAUUAUAUUUGGUUCUAAAAACCCAUUUGCAGCCUACUAACUUGUAUUUUGGAUCCAUUGGUACUAGGCUCCAGGUUUUGUUUCUAAUAAGAGCAUCAAAUUCAUCUUGCAUUGCUGCCUUCCACUUAGAAUCAGACAAAGCUUCACCAAUAUUGGAUGGUUCUAAAUUGUUAUGAGCUGUUAAGAAUGCCUUUGGUUUGAAUAUGCCAGCUUUGGCUCUGGUAAUCAUAGGAUGAGUAGAUAUGAUGGAUUGUGGAGGUGAAGAAAGUGAUCUGGAAGUUGAUAAUGGUAUGUCUGGAGAGGUUUGAUUUAUUGUAGGUAAAGGUGUAGUGUGUGGGAUUAUAGCUGGUGUGAUGUUUGGGUUUUCAGCUGAUGUGGUGUUUAAGGUUCCAGCUGGUGUGGUGUUUGAGGUUGCAACUGGUAAUGUGGUAAAAGGGAGUGUGAUGAUGUUGUGAGUAGAGCUUGAGGUAUGAGAAUCUGUACCUGCAGAAGCAACUUCAAAAGGAUGCUGAUUGCUAUUAGGGACUGAAAUAUGAAAGGAUUGGAAUGAAUUGCAAAGAAAAUCAGAGGACUUUGAUGGCAUGGACUGCAAGAAGGUGGGAUCAGUAGAAUAUGGAAAAGAGGUUUCAUCAAAGAGAACAUGACUGGCUAUGUAAACUUUCCCUGAUGAAUGGAGACAUUUGUAGCCUUUGUGUAAAGGGCUGUACCCUAAGAAAACACACUUAGAAGUAUGAAAAUGAAACUUGUGAUGAUUGUAAUCUCUUAGAAAAGGAAAACAAGCACAACCAAAAGUUUUGAGAAAAGGAUAAUCUGGCUUUAGAUUAAAAAGAUGUUCAUAAGGGGUUUUCAAGGAAAGAACAGGGGUUGGAAGUCUAUUGAUAAUAUAGGUAGCUGUAUGAAAUGAAUCCCACCAAAAUUUUAUAGGUAACUUGGCUUGUGCAAGUAAGGUUAAACCCAACUCAGUGAUAUGUCUAUGUUUUCUUUCCACAAGACCAUUUUGAUUGUGUGUAUAGGGACAGGAAUGUCUGAACUGAAUUCCUUCCUUUUGAAGAAAUUGAACAAAUGAUCUAUACUCACCACCUCAAUCAGACUGAAGGCAUUUUAUUGAUUUAUCUAGUUGUUUCUCUAUUUGAGCUUUAAAAACUUGAAAAACUUGAAAAACUUGAAAGGCUUCAGAUUUGGUUUUUAAAGGAAAGAUCCAGGUGAAUCUUGUGAAAUCAUCAACAAAACUGAUGUAGUAUCUAUAACCUUGUAAAGAGAGUGUAGGAGCAGGCCCCCAUAGAUCUGUAUGUAGAAUUUCAAGUGCAGUUCUGGUUUUGGUUUCAGUUACUGGAAAGUGCAGUUUAUGCAUUUUUCCCAACUUACAAGCAUCACAAGAAUCAAAAACUUUAUUUCCAUUGAUAGUUUUGAAAGAUGGACAAGAGUUGAUUACAUGACUCAAUACUCUAGCAUUAGGAUGACCUAAUUUUUGAUGUAAAAUCAUAGUACUCAACAUACAAUCAGAGUCUUGACUAUACUGUGCUUCAGUAUGUGACUGAGAAGCAAUUUUAUUCUGACACUUAGAAUUAACAGCAGAAAACAUUGAAAUAGGUUGAGUUGAGACAACUGACUGAACAUGAGCAAGAAAGCCCUGGUUUGACAAAUAAGGAGAAGAUUUGUUUGCUAAGACUAAUAGCAAUCUGUACAAUCCUUUUUCAGCUUUGCCCUGCAGCAUGAUCAGAUUCCUCACCUUGUCCUUAACAAAACAGAAAUCAUUAGUAAAUUCUACCACAACAUCAUUAUCUCUAGUUAGUUUAGAUAUACUAAUCAGGUUUUUAGUUAUUUUAGGCACAAGAAGAAUGUUGUUCAGCUUAAGCUCAAAUUUAUUUACAGAACCUUGCAUUCUCAGAACAGCACAGCCUGUAUGUGUUAUGCAUAAACCAACACCAUUUCCAAUGACAAGUUUAGAAGUACCUGCAAAGGAUUCAGCCAUAUGCAUAUUGUUCAGAUCAUUAGUGAGAUGGUGAGUAGCCCCACUGUCGAGAUACCAAUUUGAAUCAGUUGGAGCAUCCAUGUUAGCCAAAUAAGCAGCUUUUGGUCCUCUAUUUGGUGGUGGUCUGUAAGCACCUGAAGUAAUGAAUUCUUCCAGCUUCCAGCAGAUGUUUGCAGUAUGUCCAGGCCUGAGACAAAUCUGGCAAGUAGGUUUUGAAGUAUUCCAUUGAGGUUUGGAAGUCACAGGUGGUUUGCCAUUGUUAAAGUUGCCAACUCCAUUAUUAUUAUUCCAGUUACCUCCUCCUCCUCCUCUUUGGUUGCCUAAUUGAUAGCCUCUAAACUGAGUAUUAAAACCAGUACCAGCACCGGCCGAGUCAGUACCAAAAUUUCCUUUAUAAUAACCACCAUUUCCAAUUCCAGAAUUAUAGCCAUAACCACUAAAACCUCUUCCACCUGACAUGUUAUUCUUCUUAGCUCCUCUAUUUUGAGCAUAAUUAGCCUCAAAAUUGUUCUUCAUAUCCAUACCAGCAAGCAUUUGUGACUAUUGUUCAAUCCUAGCCUCUUGAGUUAAGAGCAUGGCAUAUGCCUCAUUCACAUUCAUUUUUCCAACUCCUACUUGACCAGUAAUGUAAGUAGCUACUGAAUUAUAAUCUGGUCCUAGUCCAGAUAACACAUGCAAAAACAAAUCAUCACUACUCAAAGCACUUCCUGCUGCAGCCAUAUUUUCAGCUAUAUUUUUCAUUUUAAUGAAAUAAUCUGUAAUCUUCAUAUCAUCUUUCCUUGUAGAAUUCAUCAUGUACCUUAAAUGCAAAAGUCUAGAUUUAGAUUGCGAGCCAAAUUGUACCUCAAUUGCUUUCCACACUUCAAGUGAUGUUUCCAGGUUGAACACUAGACUUAUGAUUCAUUCACUCAUUGAGGAGAGCAGCCAUCCAAGUAGCACCUGGUCUUGAGAUCUCCAUGUUAUGAAUUUUGGAUUUUCCACAGAUCUGAGUUCAUCAUCAACUCUUUGAGCUAUAUGAGAUGAAGGAGGAGUGAUCGAACCAUCGAUAAACUUUUCAAGCCUAUUUCCACGAAUUGAGGCUAGAACUUGUGAUCGCCAUAUGAGAUAAUUGGAUUGAUCGAGCUUGACUGGUGUGUUAAAAGUAAAAGAAACAGUAGUUGAAUUUGCAGCAAGAUUUUGAGUUUGGUGUGAGGAAGAAGAAGCAAGAUUUGCAGACGCCAUUGUUGGCUCUGAUACCAAGUAGAAAAUCAAUAAUGUUGAGAAACAGAGAAAACAGAAUUUGUUUAUUAUCACAAAAUCACUUACUAAAUGAAUCUGUACAUUAUUCUCUUUAUAUACAUCAGUAGUGAUUUUAACUAACUAACUUUUAUAACUAAUCAUAAAAGCUAAUUAGAUAAUUAUCUAACUAACUAUUUAGCACAAGAAAGACUAUAACAGAUUCUAAUAAUCUUCACGUGUGCAAGAUAUUACAAAGCCACCAGGCUCCAGCUGGCAAGCCAUGUCAUCCACUUGUAUCUGUGAACAGCUGGUGUUACAAUCCUCUGCUUCACUGACCAUUCUAUGCAUAUGAGCUUCCUUAACAAGUGUUUUGUUGUUGGCUUUAUUUGUUUCUUUGUAUCAAGUCAAUAGAAAAUAGUACUGUAUUUACCAUUUGCGCUCUUCUGAUAACAAAAAUAUAAUUGCUAUAAUUUAUUUAAUUCCAGUUCCGGACACUGUUUGGGUUCACAAUGGCUCAACAUAUUUUUGACAUCUAGCCAGCUGCAAGGCCAACACCAAGCACAAAAGAAGCAUAAAUUUCCACAGUUUUACAUACACUAGCGAUACAACCAUGGAACAAAUAGAUCCCUUGUAUUCUCAUAGGACCAGAAAAAUUCUGGAAUCAUUUACUUAUAUGAGGAUGAUUUAUUUAUUUAUUGUUUCUAUUGGAUUUAUGCUCUUGGAACUGCAAAAUCCUGUAGAUGAGGAAGAACGUGCAUUACCUGAAGCAAUUUACAUGUAUCUUAGCACAUUGAUCGAGGGCUACAGAGAUCACUAGAAGACAGCUAGUCAAAUAAACAUGCACAAGCACAUGAAGAUGCUUUUACCAUAGCAGCUGUAGCCAGUGGCAACUUAUGACAAGCAAGCUGCAGCAGCAAUAAUUGAACAGAAGAUCUAAGCCGUUACACGAAGGGGAUGGACGAUUCAUAGUUGGGUUUAUGGGACCUUGGAAGAUUUCCUCAAGUGUGGUCUUCAAGAGUGCACGGCUGGAAUGAAUGCUGCUUCAGUCUACAUCUUGACUGCUGAGCGCUUACCCAAGAGAGCAUCGAGCAAUCAUAGCGGUCCAAGAGACCACAUUCCUUUGCGGCAUUUCAUCAAAAACCAUUCUAGCAUCCUCCAAUGAACCACAUUUGCCAUACAUAUUAAGAAUAUAGUUUUGUAGAACAACGUCUGGCUGACUCUUGGAUGAUAAAAUAUGAUCAUGGACUUUUCUUCCAAGUUGUAGAGAUCUCAGAGAAGAGCAUGUAGAGAUUAAACAAGCAUAAGUGCUAGGUCUUAUCCUAA